AAUUAUUUUUUUAAAUGAAAAACUAACAUUUAAAAUCUGAAUAAAUCAAUCUAUUUUAUUUUAAAUUUGUUUGAGAUAAUAAUUAAAUAAAAAUUAUAAUAAAAAUUAUAUCAAAAUUAAAAUUAUUUAAAAUUUAAAUAAAUAGAUUUUUUUCAUAAAGUUUAUAAAAAAUAAAAAAUGAUUUAAUUUAACAACAAACAAGUGUCUAUAUAUCUACUAGAUAUCUUUCUAAAUAAAAUAAAACAGGUGUAUGAUAACAUAAUCCACUGUCUUUAGUAUCUUACUUUAUUUUUACUUUUCCUAUUAUUCUAUUGUUCUUGUCUUAGAAAGACUAUUACAAAUUGCUGAAAGAAUCCAAGAAAAAAAUUAUUAGAAAAAUGCAAAGCUUUAUAUUUCUGUUUCUGUUUUUUUUUCUCUAUAUAUACAUAUGGAAUGAGGAGGAUAAAAUUCGUUUCAUUUCACACAAAAAAAAUCUGCUUUAUAUAUAUUCGUUUGUAUUUUCUUAUGAUGCACGAGCCACUUGUGCAUAUUAAAUUUAUCAUAACAUUAGAUAUUUGUUUAAAAUCAUUAAUUAAUUGAAAAACGUAAUGUAAUUCUGAAAUACUUUUAAAAAUAUCCAUUAUAUUAAUCUUCAUCUUAAUCUUAAUUUAUUAUAAUUUAAUAAUAGUAUAAAUAAUUUUUUAUAGAUUGUUAAAUUAAUUUAUUUUAAUGUUAAAAUUUUUAAUAUUCAUUUUUUUUUGUAAUUUUAUGUUUAUCUUUCCUCUACUUUAAUCAUUGAAUAUAAUUAACUCUUAUAAUAUUUAAAAAUAUAAAAUGUUUUUGAUAAAUGUUAUUAAUAUGUGUCUCUUUUAAAACUAUAUUUUAAGUUUAACAAUUUAAUAUUCAAUAAUUUUAAUAUUAUAACCUUCAAAGUUAAAUCAAUUAAGUAAAAUCUUAAAAUAAAGAGAUAACUUUUUAAAAAUCAACUCUAUAUUUAAUAUAUAAAAAAUUCUAAACAACAUAAAUUUAAAUAAAAGACAUUAAAUAACUUUAAAAAAGUUAAAAGAGAACGGAGUAAGAAAAUAAUUUAUUCAAAUUAGAAAUAAGUGCCUAAAAUGAAAGGCUGCCACGUGUACAAAUUCUGUAAUCUGAACACACGGACGUUUAUUUAUUUAUAAGUAAAUUACACCGGUAGUUACUCAAGUAUUAGUUUAUUUCUUUUUUAGUUACUAAACUAUAAAAAGUUACAAAAUGGUUACCCAAUUAUUUAACUUUUUCUUUUUUGGUCACCAAUUGUUAAUUAAUAAAGAAAAGAUAACUUGAAAGCUUUUAAAAUUAGCAUAAUACCAACUUUAACACUCAAUAUUUAUAUAUUGUAUCAAUUUAGUCUUGAUUUUAAGAAAAUUAACCCUCAACAUUUACACAUUUUGUAAAAUGUAAGGGUUAAUUUUCUUAAAAUCAAGACUAAAUUGACACAAUGUAUAAAUGUUGAUGGUUAAAGUUGCUAUUAUGCUAGUUUUAAAAAUCGUCACGUCAUCUUUCUGUUAGCCAUUUAACGACCGGUAACAAAAAAAACAAAAUCAAAUAGUUAAAUAAUCAUUUUGUAAAUUUUCAUAAUUGGUUAACUUAAAAAAAAAAAAAAACUUUGCCGAUAGUUGAAUAACUGCUAGCAUAGUUUACCUUUUACUUAUUUAUCUAGAACCUUGUCAAUGACAUAUAAUAUACUAGCUUUCUUAACCCUUACGAUGCACAAGGUAAUAGUAUGUAUUAAUAAAGUAUAUUAUAAAUUCAUUAUAAAAUGAGAAAUAAAUGUAAACAUAAUAUUUCAAAAAUAAAAUUUUAAAAUUUUGUUAAAAGUAUUUUCUAAUAAAUUUGUUAACUUAUUAUUUUUGAAUUAAAUUAAAUGUCAUGGAUGGGUUUGCAGUAUGUAGUUCAACUUAUUUUAAUAUUAGAAUAUAAAAAAAAUUAACUUUAAAAUUUAAAAUAUUUUUAUACAAUAAUUCUAAGUAAUUUAUUUUAAAACAUGCUAAUUUUUAAAAACUAUUGAAAGCAUGAAUAUUUUAAGAAAAUUAAAUAUUUUUUAAAAAAAGUAUUUAUACCGUUACAAUAAUUAUUUAAUUUGAUAUUGAUUUUAAGAAAAUAUGAAUAUUAAAAGAUAUUUUUCUCUAAUGUAAUUGAAAUUAUGUUUUAAUUUUUAAAAACAUUAUAAUAUUAAUAAAAUUGUAAACUAAUAUAAUAAAAAUUAUGUUUUAAAUUUUAAAAACAUAAUAUAACCGUAUAAUGAGAUAAAGGAUAAAGAUUAAAACAUAAUAUGAUCGGAAGUCAUAAUUACGAAACACUUAUACUUGUUAUUGUUUAACAUUAUUCCGAUCACAAAAGGUCGUUACAGAGAGUAAUGUUGCCUAGUUCCCACCAAUUCUCUUCCGUAAAGUGCAUUGCAAAAUAAAUCUGUUGUGCAUCUGUGCAGACAGUUCCAUGAGGAAGCAAUUUAAAAAAAAAAGAAAAGAAAAGAAACUGGAUAAUAUAAUAAAAUAGUAUUUAUACUAUUAUCUAAUGUUUUGUUUUAAUUUUAAAUAUAUAUUUUUAACUUAACACAAUCAAAUGUCAAUUUUUUUAAAUGUAUUAAUUUAGAUAUUAAAAUAUACUAAAUAUAUUGAUGUUGUUCUUUUAAGAACGCACUGAAUUUUCUAAAUCAGAUAUGAUAAAAACGCACUGAAUCUGACUUGUUUCAGGAAUCAAGCCACUCAACCUUUGCUGCUGUGGAACCGCAUAUGGCUGAAGCUUUUGUUAUUUGGGAUUGUUUGUGAGUGAUGCAUUCUUUGAUGAAGAUAUUUCUGAGUACAGGUUAUUGAUACAAGAUUGUCAAAAUUUUGCAUUUCGAUUUCUAACACUCGCUUUUUGUUUGGAUUCGCAGUGAAGCUAAUAAAGUUACUCAUUCAUUCGCUCGAGUAGUUGUGUUUGAAUUAACCUGACGUUUGUCCUCUUUUGUCAUUUCUCUAUUUUUAUUAACGUACAUAAAAAAAUAUAAAAUGAAAAAGUAUGUUUUUUUUAUUUUUUUAUUGAAGGUAUGAAAGGAAGUAGGUUGAAGUAGAGAUUAAUUCAAAUUUAUGUUCUCGUGCUGGAAAAGCAGUGUAUUUUUAAUGAUAAGAUUGAUAUUUGGAAAUCAAAUUUAGACAUAAAAGGUAGAAUAUUUUAAUAAUGGAAGAAAACAUUAGAGCAAAACGGAUGCCUUAACGUUGGGCCCAAUUUCCGGCCCUUUAUAUAUACCCCUGCCAUCCCAUCCCCUUCGAUAUCUUCCGCAUUCAAUCAUUUUUAUUCCGCUAUUUUCUCUCUCCCCAAACACCCUUUUAAGCCAAAAAGAAGACAAUGGCCGAUCAGCUCACCGAUGAUCAGAUCUCUGAGUUCAAGGAGGCCUUUAGCCUAUUCGACAAGGACGGCGAUGGUCUCUUCUAAUCUGUUUCUCUUUUAACUUUUUCUCAAUGUUUUUCAUUUUUAGUAAUUUUCUUUCUUCGAUUCGGCUCUGGUUUGCUGAUCUAAGCAUCCUUCUUGUGCUUGUUUUUGUUAUUUUUUUUUAAAUUCUCCAUUUUCUUUUAUGUUUUGAAUGAUGCGAUGGAUCUAGGGUUCCGAUUUAUGAAUCUAUGAUUCUGCUUGAUCUAGUUUUUCUUUCGUUUCUUUGAUUUUGACUGUUGCUCUUAAUUCUUACCCCUUUAAUUUUUUUUCAUUUUCUUUAUUGUUCUCCUUUCUCGGUCGUCAUUGAUUUCAAUGUUUUUAUUGUUAGGCUUAGAUAUUUUCUAGAUGUAAACAUGCUUUCAUAGACCAUCAUUGUAUUGGUUAUUCGUUUCAUUUAUUUUCGAGUUUUGGAUUUGCUGAUUCGAUUUGGUUUGUGAUUCAAUGAUGAUUAAUUGUUCCAUUUGUGUAUAUCUUAAUCUAAUCAGCCAAGUUUCCAUGGAUUUUGGAUGUGAUUCCCUUUGAUAGAACUUUCGUUUUCAACCUAUAUUGAACUAUAGGAUCAUUGUUAGUAUUUUAUUUCACUUGCAUGUUAGUUGUAAAGCGAUUGAUUCAUGGUUCUAUCCUGAAAUUUAGCUUUUAUUGUCACGCAUAAUAGUUAUGAAUCUAGGAUUAAAAUGUGCUUGGCUUUUGUAGGUCAUGAAAUUUCAAGACUUGUUGUGAAUGAUUCAAUCGGUUAAUCUUAUGGUUUCUAAUCCUAAACCGUGAACUAAUAACAGUUCACACCUACGAGAUUAAUUGAUGAUAAGAGAACAUAUAUGAAUUAUUGUACAAUACAUUACAUGUAUUCUAUUUAUUAGCUAAUCCUUGGAUUAUCAACUUUCUUUCCUGGCUGUCUAUUCAUUCUGAAGCUUAUCAGUGGCUGUAAGAAUUGGACUAUACAUUGCUGAGUAGGCAUAUGCCUUCAUUUUAGGCAAAUUGGAAAAAUGGUCACUAUCCUCUACAGUUCUUGUUUUUCAAUGUAUUUAUCUUUGUUAAAUGUCUUGGCAGAGAUAUACGGGUUUAGAAAAGUUUGAAAAUCGUCUAGUAUCUUUCUACUUGAAAAAGUAUGUGCUUUUUUGUAUUCUUUAGGUAAUAUCACAUUCGCAUGCCUUUUUUUUCUGGCAAAAGGUACUUAACCUCUUCUUAUUCCAUAACCAAUAUUAUAAAAGACUAAUCGUGUUGCAUUUAUUUUUUCCAUCCUUGUUGCAGGCUGCAUUACUACCAAGGAGCUCGGGACUGUGAUGCGAUCACUUGGGCAGAACCCUACUGAGGCAGAACUUCAAGAUAUGAUUAAUGAAGUUGAUGCUGAUGGAAAUGGGACCAUCGAUUUUCCUGAAUUCCUUAACCUGAUGGCGAGGAAGAUGAAGGAUACUGAUUCUGAGGAGGAACUUAAAGAGGCUUUCAGGGUUUUUGACAAGGACCAGAAUGGUUUCAUAUCAGCUGCUGAGCUGCGCCAUGUCAUGACAAAUCUCGGUGAGAAGCUUACAGAUGAGGAGGUUGAUGAAAUGAUCCGUGAAGCCGAUGUUGAUGGUGACGGGCAGAUCAACUAUGAGGAGUUUGUUAAAGUCAUGAUGGCCAAGUAACUUUCUCACCAACCAUAACGAUGAACCAAACAUUGAUAAAAAAGGGAACAGGGCAGAUAGGUUCGCUAAGACUUAUAUCUCUGAAUAGGAACAUCCAUGUUUUUAAAUUAUUAGCUUUUGUUGUUGAUUUGUAUCUGUUUUCGUUUGAAUUAUUGCGGAACCUUAGUGUCAUACCCAUUUGCUCUGUUUUUUGUUCAGUAGUCCGGGUUGUCAGUGCUUAUCUAUUUUUUUUUUUUAAAUUUUUAUGUUUGUGAUUGGUUUCAUAACCUGGAACAAUUUCCAAGAAUCGAUGUUUUUCCUAAUGGUUUACUGGUCUUUUACGAUAUAUUUCGAAUAUAAAUUAAUUUAAUUUUUAUAUAUUUUUUAAGAUAAGGAUAUUUUGAUAAUUUUUUCUUUCAAACGCAAUCCUGAUUUUUUGCGUUAGGGUGGAAAAAUCAUUUUUUCGGCAGUUUUAACUCUAAAAAAGCCAUAUGUUUCGCUAUUUUUCCGGUGUGUAAGUAUUUUUUAACCCCAAACGCAGUAAAGAACGAAUCAGAAUAUUUUCUUCCAACGGCACGAAGUAUUCUGAAAACGGUAAAUCAUGGUAUCGGUAUUUGUACUUUGCUAAAGUAUUUUAAAUGGGCUAUUUUGAUUAUUGUUGUUAAUUGAGUUAGUAUUGUAAGUUAAUUAAAUAUUAAUAUUUAAAAAUUGAUGAUAAUAUUAUGAUAAACUAUUGUAAUAUUCUUAAUAUGAUAUAUUUAUAUUUUUUAAUUUUAUUUUACUUACAAUUUAAUCUUUUUUUUUCAUUUUAAUAUCAUAUUUAUUUCAUGUGUUAUUAUUAAUUAAUAUCAAAACAUAAGUUUCAUUGUUUAUUAUAUGUUAUUUUUAAAUUAACAUUUGUGUUUUAAAUACGUGGAUUUCACAUGCAUACGGGUGUAAUUGAAUUUCUAGUAUUGAUAAUAUUGGUGAUUGACUUGGUGUCACAAGUUAACUUGGCACUAACUCAAGAUUGAUAACGCUACCAUGAUAAACAUUUGUAAUGCAUGCAAUUAGUAUUCUUAAUAUUAAUUAGUUUCAAAUAGACCGGUCAUGGGCUUAGUUGGGUCGAGUUUGGAUCAAAUUGAUAUAAAUUUUAGAUCCAUUUUUUACGCUCGUGCCUAGUUCAGCUCGAAAAAUGGUCCUAAAAUUUAGCCCAAGUCUGGUCCAGAUUAAAAAUACUAAACCCAAGCCUAAUUCGAUCUACCCGUAUUAAUUUUUUUAGAUUAUUUUUUAUAUAAAAAUAAAAUUAAAAAAUAUAAUACAUCAAAUACACUAAAAACAUUAAAAUAAAUGUUUCCCAACAAAUUAAAAAUACAUUAAAAAUAUUUAUACUUAAAUAACAUUAGGAUAGUUGCAAUUUGGCAAGCAAAUACUUUUAAAAUAGUAGCAAAAUUAACAAUAAAACAAGAGUUACACAACACUCAAACAAUAACAACAAAAUAAUAGUAAUAUAAUAGUGAAAUGGUAGCAAAACAAUAGCGAAACAACAAAAAAAAAACAAAUUCGGGCUGAGCAGGUAAAAAAAUCUUACCCGAGACUUAAUCCAUUUACAAAACAGGCUUUGUUUUUUGUCCAUGCCUAUUUUUUAGGUCUAUAUUUUUAUCCAAGCCCUCGCAGACCUUUGGGCCUUAAUGAGUAGCUCGACCUAUGAUCAAGUCUAGUUUUAAACCAUACAUUUCAUUAUUUAUUAUAUGUUAUUUUUAAAUCAACAUCUAUGUUUUAAAUACAUAGUUUCCACAUACAUACACUUGUGAUAGAAUUUCUAGUUAUUAUUUAAGUCCCUGACUGAAUUGGUGUCACAAGUCAACUAGGCACCAAUACGUUAAGAAAAUUACGAAAAUGUCAUUCUGUAAUUACAAUAAGUUAUAUUAUUUGAGGGUAUCUUAAUCUUUUACUUUUAAAAAAAAGAAAACCUAAUAAAAGAGUUACAUGUUGUGGGAUUUAAACUAGAGGUGAGUAAAACUUGAUUCGAUUUGAAAAAAUAAAAAUAAAAUCAAAUUUCGAGUUAAUAAAAUUGAGUUAUUUACUCUUGGAAUAAGCAAUUCGAGUUUUGAGUUCAAGUUGAGUUGAAUUUUACAAUUCGAGUCACUCGAAUAAUUCGAAUAAUAGAUGUGUAAAUACCCUUUUGGUUCCUAACAAUUUUGAAAAUGAGCAAAUUGAUCACUCUCUCAACAAAAAUUACAAAAAAAAAUUCAAAAUAUUUAUAAAAAUUCUUAUAUAUUUUUAAAAAAUAUAUAAUUUUUUAAAAAGAUUCUAAAAAAAAUAUAAAGAAAGUUAAAAAAUUAAAAAUAUUCUAAAAUAAUAACUUUGGGAACUCAAUAAAUAAAUAAAUUAUUAAAUUUUAUCGUACUAAAGUAUCUUAUUAUUAUUAUUAUUAUUAUUUUGCUUUGAAUUUUUUUCAAAUAUAUAUGGUUUCAAAUUUAUGUGCUCUAACAUGGAAUUAGUUUUGCUGUAACAAAACUUUAAUUUGAUAUGUUUAAUUUUUUAAUUAACUUGAUCAAUUUCACUCAAUUUGUCUUGACUUGAAUUUCAUUUCACUCGACUCGAUUCGAAAAAAUUUCAAAUCGAGUUAGAUGAUAAAAUAGGACUUGUAAACUCAAUUAACUCAAAAAAUUUUCACUUGAUUUGAUCAAACACUCACCCUUAAUUUAAACCUAUGGUAUAUACAUUAAUAAAAUUUUAAUUUCACCAUUAAACCAAAACUUUAUUUUAAUGUAAUAUUUAAAUUUUAAUUGUAUUAUGCAUAUUUUAUUAUCCCAUUAAUUUUAUAUCUAUACUCCUAUACUAUUUAUUAAGUUUUUUAUUAUGGAAAUAUAAUUCUGUAAUUAAAGUAAGUUAUAUUAUUUGAGGGUAAUUUAGUCUUUUUAUUUAAAAAUCAAUAAAAAUAUAUAUAUAUGGUGGGAUUUAAACUCGAACCAAUUAUAGUAGUAAAACCUUUUAAUUUACCACUCAGUUGAAGCUUUAUUUUGAUACUUUUGCACAUUGCAAAAAUUUUAUUAUUCACAUUUUAUUAUCUCAAUCAAUUGUAUAUAUAUAUAUCUAAGUGUUUUACUAAGUUGGUGUCACCCUCAACUGGAUCACCAACUCAAUUAAGAAAUAUGCAUAAGUUGAGAUAUGAACACAAAUCAAUUACAUUAGUAAAACCUUAAUUUACCACUCAGCUAAAGUCUUGUUUUAAUAUUUUUUAUAAAUUUCAUUUUAUUAUUAUUAUGCACUAAUGUAUUUAAUUGAGUUGAUAGCACAAAUUAACUCGAUAACAACUUAAGAUCGAUGGCAACACCAUGAUAAACAAUUUUAAUCUUAUUUUGUUUAACAUCGUAUAUAUUUCACGUGUUAUUAUUAACUAGUUUCAAAUCAUACGUUUUAUUUUCUAUUGCAUGUUAUUUUUUAAAUACACUAUUCUAAAUUUAUGAUUUCCAUAUGCAUACGCGUAUGACAAGAUUUUUAGACUAUACUAUUUAUUAAGCUUUUUUAUUGAGUUGGUGUUACCCAUCAACCGAGUCCCAACUUUAGGAAUUACCCUAAAUCAAAAAAACUAUUUUAUUUGCUAAGUUAUAUGAUUUUGUGGAUGUUUCUAUUUUUUUUAUAGUUUUAUAAAUCAAUAAAAAUUUAUCCAUAAUAAGAUUUGAACCAAGGACAUUAGGUAUUUAUAACUUUUUCAUUUACCAUUUGAACUAAAACAUUUUUUUUUUAUAUAUGAAACUAUAACAAAUAUAUUUGUUAUAUACAUUUUUAUAUAUUUGUGUAUCUAACUAAACUAUUUCUAUAGCCAUUUACUGAGUUUGUAUCACCUGUCCUAACUAAGUUAGCAAAUUACCAAAAAAUCCUUUUAUUUGAAAAGUAAGUUAUAUGAUUUUGUAGGUGUUUUUUUUUUACUUUUCAUAUUUUUAUAAAUAAAAAUAAAAAAUUGUCUAUAAUAAGAUUUGAAUCAAUGGCAUUAUGCAUAUAAAACUUAUUUUUUACCAUUUCUAAACUAAUUUUUAAUUUUUUUAAUUUGAUGCGUUUUUGUAUUUAAAUUUCGUUUUACUCACAAUUUAUUUUUUUCAUUUAAAUAUCAUACAUAUUUCAUGUGUUAUUAUUAAUUAGUUCCAAAUCAUAUGUUUCAUUAUUUAUUAUAUAUUAUUUUUAAACACAUAUAAGUGUUCUAAAUUCGUGGUUUCCACAUACAUACGCGUGUGAUAAGAUUUCUAAUAUUGAUAAUAUUGUUAAUUGAAUUGGUGUCACAAGUCAACUCAACACUAACUCGAAAUUGAUGACAACACCAUGAUAAACAAUUAUAGUGCAUGUAUUGUUCUUAAUAUGAUGUAUUUCCGUAUUUAAAUUUCAUUUUACAUGCAAUUUAGUCUAUUUUUUUAUUUGAAUGUUGUACGUAUUUCAUGUGUUAUAAUGAAUUAAUUUUAAACCAUACGUUUUAAUAAGGUCCCAACUUAGUUGAGAUUACCAGAAACCCAUUUUUGACAAAUAAGUUAUACUAUUAUGAGUGUGUUUUUGUCUUUUUAUAUUUCUAUUGAUGAAUAAAAUUUUACACAUAAUAAGACUUGAACUAAUGAUACUAUAAUAUCAAACCUUCGACUUUACCAUUUUAACUAAAAUAUCCAUUGAUUUUUACAUAAACUUUUAGUAAGUAUAUUUGUUGCAUAAAAAUUUUCAUCAAUAGUUAUUUGUAAUGGUAGUUGUUUUUUUAAUAGUCUUAAAUACUCAUUUUUAUUAUUCUAUUUUAAUUUAAUAGAUAUAGAUAUAUGUUUUCUUUUUUUUAUACAUAAUUAUGAAUAAUAUCUUUUCCUCAGCUAAGUUUGAGUUCAAUUCAUAUUGCUAUACUAUUGUAAUAACCAGAAAGAUAUGAAUUUAAGCGUGUUUAAACAAUUUCUUUUUUCAAUUUAAAUUCAUCAAUCUUCACCCAUAAUAAAUAGAUAUAUUAAGAUAAGCCACAUAUGAAUUCAAACCACUUAAAUAGUUUUAGUUUUUUUUUAAUAUAUAAGGUUGGUUUAUAUAUAGGAAAAAUAUUUCCUAAUAAUUUAAUCAUCAAGUGUAUUUGAAAUGUUAUACUUAAAAUAUCUAUUUUAAAAAAAUGAUUGUUAUUAUAAUAGAAAUAUGAUAAUAACAAAAUUUAGAAAAAAAAAAGUAAUAUCUAUAUUUGGUCACCUAUAAAAUAAAAAGUAAAUAUUUUUACAUUUAGUUUAUAUGACUGAGUCAUUAAUCGAGUUGGGAUUAAUUUAAAUUUUAAUAUUUAUAUUAUUAAAACUAAAAAUUUGUCUGACUAUAUUAUCGAAAGAGUUUGGCACAACAAAAGAUACAAUUAUAAAAAAAAUUACACAAAAAAAAAUAUUUACGUAAUUCACAAUUAAUCUAUGUUUGCAUAGUCUUGCUUAAAGAAUCAAUCCACUAAAAUUUUCUAAGUACAAAGAACAAUGAUUUAACCUAAACUUAUUCGCAAUAGAAUUGAGCAUCCCUUGCAUCGCUUCUACUCUAGAAUCUAAAGACUUUAACAAAAAUUCCAUGAGUUGAUCUUCCAUCAAGUCCAACCUUGUAGUGCGUCCGUCGACUACCUUGAAUGUCUUCCUCAUAUCCCCCAUGGACUCAUUGAGAUUAACCACUCGAUUUUCUAAAGCCAACGGCAAGCUUUUCUGGCCCUCCCACGAGUCUCCGUUGGCUCAAUCUGAUCUUCUACUCCUUUCGUCAUCUCGAACGACACCUUUGAAACAUUAGCUCAAAUACCAGUUGCCAAGGGGGCUAAAACUUUAUUCUCUCAAUCCGUGCGACCUUAGGCAAUUUAUUGGGUUCAAAUCCACCUAAGUCAACCUAACUCUCACAAAGUGAGAAUUCUCGAUAGAAAUUCUUAAGGCACCGAAAAUAAAGCGGAAGCAACUCAGAGCGAAAGAGUAACAAAAUAACAGAAAAUGCCACAAGAAAGCAAAAGCACGCCAAGUGUUUGAGUAAAUGCUCUCCAUAGUAUUCAAUUACUAUGAAGGAUUACAAAUAAGGGGGAAGACUUUUAUUUAUAGUUAAGCUCCCCAAAUUCAACAGUGCAGAUUGAGUUACACCGACAGUCAAGACUAGAGCCUAUUUACAAGAUGAUAGUCCUUAUGGAUUUAAACUCUAUACAUCUUUAUCACUUAGGAUUUACAAUAUUUACCCUAAUAACUCUAGCUUCACCGGAGUGUUUCACUAGGCCACCAAGGCUUCAAGUAGAUGGGCUUCUCUAUAUGUUCCACGAGUUGGGUCAGUUCAAGCGGGUCAAAUGAGCCUUAUUUAAUCAGUUGACCUCCAUGGGACGCUCUUUGCGCAUUCGUCAUGAGUUUUGAUUUACGGCCCAUGACACUAGGUUCAAAGCCCGUGACCAUCGCACCAAAUGCAUCCAAUGGAGGUUUAUUGCUUAGAUAGGGAUCAUUUGGCCUACAAGAACUGGCCCAAUUCAAAGAGCUAUUGGACAAGCCUGUCAUAUUGAAGCCUAGUUGGCCCGAUAAUGAAGAGAUGUCAACUUAGGCUAAUAUGGUAACUAAUCUUAGAAGAUAGAGGGAAUCAUAUCUUGUAAAGAUUAGAUUAGAUUUGAUAAGGCUUAUCUUGUAAAUCCCUAAAAUUAAGGGAUAUGGUUAAAUCUCAUCCGUCGAUGUAAAUGUAUCUUGACCGUCGGUUUUGGGGGAGCUCAACUAUAAAUAGAGAGCCUCCCCCUCAGUUGUACUCACUCCAUUCAUUGUUUCAUUAUUUUUUGUGAAUAAGAGAAAUAGAGAGCAUUUACUCAAACACUUUGCGAGCGUUCUUUCUGUUGUUCUCUGUUGUUCUUCUUUUGGCAUAAAUCGCUUCCGCUCUUCAAUUUGGUGCCUUGGAGGAGUUCUAAAAGAAUCCUCACUUGAGUUAAGGCUGACUUGGGCGAGUUUGGACGAACGGAUCGCCUAAGGCCGCACGAAUUGCGAAACGAAAGGUCUAGCCCCGUGACACUAGUACGUGGUGCAAAAAAAAAACAAUCUAAAUAAAAAAAUUGAAGUGAAUCGAAUUGAAAAAAAAUUGAAUUUUUUUUGUUUAUUCAGUUUUCAAUUUCUGUUUAAUUGGUUUAUUUGAUCGAUUUUCGAUUUUGACAUUUUAAAUUGAAUAAACCAUUUAAGGUCAUAAGCCCAUAACACAUUUACAUAACCAAACCCUAAUUUAAACUAUAAACCCAAAUAUCCAUUAAAACUUAGUAUUCUUAAAAGCUCGAACCCAUUAAAGUUUAAAAUCCAAUACUCAUUAAUAUUUUAUACCCAAAAUGAUAAUUUAAUUUUUCUUUGAUAUUCAUUUUAUUUUUUUAUCAUUUAAUAUAUUAAAAAAAUCCAAAUUGAUAUAUACCUUUAAGAAUAGUAGAAGACAUGGAAAUUGUAUGUUGACCAUGUAAAAAUAAAUAAAUAGUUUUUGAGUUCUUAAAACUUUUUUGAUUUAAUUUUUAAUAUUUUUAUAAUAAUAUUUGAAAUAAAAUUAAAAUUAAAAUUAAAAGUAACGAUCUAUACUAAAUUGAAGAAAAAAAAAGACAAUUAUGUGAAAAAGGAAAUAGAAUUAUAAGUACCUCAACAAGAAUUUUUUUCAACUAAAAACAAUUAUUUAUUCUUUAUUGCAUGAAUAAUUUAAUUUAUUCAAUUUUUUGUAUAAAAAAAACCGAACCGACCAAAUACAAUUGGAUGGGAAAAAAGCUUUCUCUCUAAAAUUUACUAUUGCCCUUGCAAAAUCUUACGGCUAAACAAGAUGAACAGAACAUAAAUUUACAAGAAUAUUGAACGGAAAAUUCUAUUCCAAAAAUGCUGUUGGUCAUAGAUCAUAAAAUAAUAUUUUUAAAAUUUUCUGCUGACGAAAGAAAAUAAUUUCCAGCUUUCACCAAAUCUUAUGCUGUGGAGAAUACUAUCAUUAUUAUCAGUUUGAAAUGUUUACUUCUGUAGGAUUAAGACAAUUUUCAACCACAUUCAAAUAUGAAUCUAAAAAGUGGGAUAACCCUCCCAAAUUCUAAUUCCUUCCUAAUCAAAGAAAUAUGUAUCAUUUUAACAAAAAAACACUGAAUAUUAUUUGCCCGACUAUGGGAAGAUGUUACGCAUCCUGUUAACUCAGUUACUACUAGCCAACUGGGUCCGGAUGAGCUUGGCAGCAGCUACCAUGUUGCGAAGAGCAGGCUCAACUUCAGAGUAUUUGCGUGUCUUGAGACCGCAAUCGGGAUUGAUCCACAGAACCCUGUUAUCUAGGACUGCAAGCAUCUUGUUGAUGCGAUCGGCAAGUUCUUCUGUAGAUGGGAUCCUAGGAGAAUGAAUGUCAUACACACCAGGACCGAUACCGGCUUCAUAUUUGACUCCCUCAUGAAAGACAGAUAGAAGCUUUUCAUCUGAUCUUGAAUUCUCGAUAGUGAUCACAUCAGCAUCCAUAUUUAUAAUCGCGUUAAUGAUGUCGUUGAAGUUUGAGUAGCACAUGUGGGUGUGAAUCUAUCCAAAUAUGUUUGCAGUAUCAUGUUCAGUAAACAAAUCCAAGCAUUUUAUCUCAUGCACAUUAAAUUUUAUGCAGCAAAAUUCCAUAUUCAAUCCUAUUAACAAAUGCCACUACGGUUCUACAAAGGAAAGUCAAAUACCAAUUCAGUUCUUUCAUUCCAAAGCUUUUUCGCUUUCAGGGAAGAAAAAAAGGAGAAAGAAAGAAAUCGUUGGUUUCUCUGAAGAAUUUCAGUGUUCUAGAAGCUUUGACAAUUAACAAAAUUUUCGUGUUACUUCCAGGGAUUAGAAAUGUUUAAAAUACCAAUGACAUAAAAUGGAUAAGGUUUAAGAAACUAGUUCACUAAAGGCUCAGUACUAAAGAAAAGGUCAGGGAUAAAGAAACCUGAGUAGUGUUUUUGACGCCACAGUUAGUAAUCCGGAAGGAUUGAACGGCCCAUUCCAGAUAGAAAGGCUGCUCAGAUUUCCUAAGAGGUAAACCUUCUCUUAAUGCAGCUUCAUCAAUCUGGAUAAUAUUAAUGCCAGCUCUCUCAAGAUCCUCGACCUCAUCCCUAAUGGCUAAGGCAAUCUGGUAGCAUGUUUCAUGCCUAAAAACAGGCAACAAUUCUGAAUUAAAGGAAAUAAAAUUUCACAUUAUCAACAAUGUUGGAUUUACUGACCUAUUCUGGUCGUUUCUCACAAAGGACCAGUUCAGAAUCGUAACUGGGCCAGUAAGCAUUCCCUUCAUAGGUCGUCUAGUCAUACUCUGGGCUGUUGAAGACCAAAAGACAGUCAUGGCUCUGGGGCGGCUCACAUCACCAUAAAUAAUAGGAGGCUUGACACAACGGGAUCCAUAUGACUGAACCCACCCAUUCACAGUAAAGGCAAAACCGGAUAAUUGCUCACCAAAGUACUCGACCAUGUCAUUUCUCUGCAUUGAUAAAGUAGAUUUGCAAAUCAAAAUGACAAGUUUGGACUUGAUUCCCAUGAGAAGGUUAAAGCCUAGGCAUACCUUACCCUCAUAAUCAUGAUAAAAACUCACCUCUGGCUCACCAUGCACCAAAACAUCAAAGCCAAGCUCUUCCUGGAGCUUGACAACUUUGCUAAUUUCCUCCUUCAUGGCAUUGACAUAAUCAUAUUCAGUGAUCCUACAAGUACAUGGCAAAACAAGCAGGCUAAAUAUGCAACAAAAACAAAGACUUGAAAAGCAACAUAGACUAAGAGCAAAUAAUCUCACUUUUUAGCCUUGUACUCACGACGCACUUUUCUAAGUCCUAUGGUUUGGGGGAAAGAUCCAAUAGUGGUGGUAGGAAGAAUUGGUAAAUUCAACUUCUUCUGCUGAGCAGCCAGUCUAGCACUUACACUUGUGGCACGACGAUGAUCAGAGUCCUUCAAGGCAACAACCUAUUAAGAAAGGAGUGAUAUGUAAGUGACGGAAGGUCGAUUAGAUCAUUGCAGAAAUGAAUGACAAUGACUUUCUGUGGAAACAACAUACAGCCCUCUGCACAUUCUCAUUUCUCACUCUAGGAGAGGAUCUUCUUGAAGCAUGAGAUGUAGCAUUGGAAGCAAAAAAUGCCUGCAAAAAUGAUAACCAAAAAAUAUGAUGCUAGAGCAUAUCACCAGAAAUAUUUAUAGAUCAUAGACAACAUAUUUCAAAGUUAUAGGCAGUGUCAUCUGUCUGCCUUGCCAAUUGACCAUCAAGAGAAGAAAAAAAAGAGGUAGAGAAAGGUGCAAGCCUGUGGGUUGAAAGUCAUCAAUGGCUAAAUCAUAUGUUUUCCAUAUCAAUAAUUGUUGAUCAACAACACUUGCAAAAGUUAGCAUUUACCCACCAAAACAAGAAAGAAAUACCUGAUCCUUCUGCCCAACCAAUGCCCUGGCCAAGGCAUUUACUUCAACUACUUUUUGUGCAGCAAAUGCAAGCCAGGACUUGAUUUCUUUGUCCAACUUUGUUUCAUUCACAAGGUCCACCGCAGUGUGGAGAAGAGAGCAUGAUGUAGACACCACAACUUUAUCUGUUGGAGAACAAAACAAAAAUUGUUCUUAACUUUCAGUAAUUUGCAUACUAAAAUUCCAGGUAGAAAGAACGUAGGAAUUCCUAAAUACCUUUUCCAACAAUACCCUCAAGAACCUGCAGUAUACAAAGUGAAGCAGCAAGAUCAUUAGCCCAAAUGUUUCUUCCGUCAACCACUCCAGCAAACAAGUAUUUAUCAGAAGGAAAUCCACUCUUUAAAAAGUUAAGUGUUCUUGUUCCACGAACUAAAUCAAAUCCAAAGCCAGCUACAUUCUUUAGUGAAGUAAGUGCUUUGUAUGUCUGGAUGGGGACAUCGGCAAAGUAAGUUUCAAUGAGAAUAUUCACACCAGAAAACGAUGAUUCUAGCUCAGAGUAAGCAUUUGUAAAAGUUUGCAGUUGAAGCGCCUCGAGAUCCAACACAAGGGAGGGUUCAUCAAACUGAAUCCAUGUUGCACCAGCUGCCUUUAAUUCAGCAACAACUUCCCUGUCAGGUAACAUUUGUUAGAAAGCUCUUAAGACAAUAUGCCAGCAAUCAGUAAAGCUUAGCCCAAAAAUUUGCAGAUUAACCAAGGGCAAGCAAACAUAUUUGUGCCUUACUUGUAAAUAGGAACGAUCUUCUCAACUAAAGAAAGAAGAGAGAAGGAUUUAUCCACGCCCUUUGCUGGUUUUGAUAACAAUAAGUAAGAUAAAGGGCCUAUAAGGACAGGGACAGUGUCAAGUCCAAGCUGCACGUCAAAAAUGAAAGAAAAGUUAGCAAUUCAACAUGCAUAAUUAGGUAGGGAAUUUAAAUUUUCCAACACCAUCAGUUAAGUGAAAAAGAAACCCUAAAAGCAUCUUGUCGAAAUGAAUUUACAAUUUCCCCAACUAAAACACUUCAGUCCUAAGAGGACAUUAUCAUUUGUAGAUAUGGAUGCUAUGACGGGGCUAAAAUAAUAAUCCUCUUAGAACACAAUUCUCAUCUGCACAGCUGACACCAUAAUAGUAAAGCCAUGAGGCCGGGAUCAAUAGGUAUCAAUUUCAUUCUGACAUAUGGAAUCCAUUAAAAACUUAGGCUUCAAGCAUGUAAAAGAUGCAUAUGAACAAAUGGAUUUAUGCAAAGUAUGUUUUAGCUACUUCUUCAUCUUCUUGUCUUGAUGGGACUUGUUCAUUUACUCUUAAUUUCUUAUACCGUAGAGCCUCCACGCUACAAAAGUCUAGAGGGUUAAAAAACAAAAUUGACUCACAGAUAUAGGAUGUCCCUGGUGCACUCUUUUUUAUAAUAAAUCGACUCUCAAAAAAUUUAUACAUGCCUUAGCAUUUUUUAGAAAGAAAAUAAUGUAGCAUUCCUUCAAUAGUUAGUGGUGGUGUUACUAUGAUGCGAGCAAAAAAAGAUGCAAAUUUGACAGCUUAGGGAUAAUGAACUGAAACAAAAAAAAAAUUGAAUAUCAGAAAUUCCCUCGUAACUAAACAAAUACUGCUAAAGAAAAAGCUAAAGAGCGAAAAAGUAGCAAACUCACAGCUUUGGCCUCCUUGUAUUCCUCAACAGCCUUAUGAGAUGCAUAGGAGAACUUGACAUCGGGCCCCAAUUCCGGGACAAUAUAGUGACUUCAAAAAUGAAAAGUACCAUUAAUAUCAAGUAAAAUGAGAUUAUUUUUCGAAAAUUACUAGCUAUAAAGUAUUCUCACUUACUAAUUGGUAUCGAACCACUUAGUCAUUUCCAUAGCAGGCACAGAGGCAUUACCCCUAGCCAUUGAGAAAUAAACAUCAAAACCAAUCUCACCACCAUUCCAACCAUAUCUAGGAGGGACUGCACCUAGCAUUGCUGUGGUGUCCAAAACGUGAUCAUAGUAUGAAAAUGUGUUGCUAGGAAUAUACUUGAUUCCAACCUCAGCCAUUUGCUUCCAGAUGGAGAACCUGAGAUCGGCUGCCACCUGCUUCAAUUCCUCGGCACUGCUUUUACCUUCCCAGAAAGAUUCCAAUGCAAACUUUAACUCCCUCUUGGGUCCAAUUCGAGGGUAACCGACAAUGUGGGAUGUCAUUGCUCUGUUUCAGUAAAACAGAGUUACCACAUAUCGUUAUGAUUUCAAUUAAACCAAAAGAAAAGAUCUUCACAAGUAAAACUACAUUUAAAUUUUUAUUGAAACAAACAAAUCCAGUCGAAAUUAAGAUUCUUUUCUUUAAUCAAUGGUACAAUUGUGGGAUAGAUAUUAAAAUUCAACUAUUUCACUUGGGAGAUACCAACAUCUAUUAUUACCCCAAAUACUCAGGUGCUGGUUAUAGUUGAGUUUUAUUGGUCAAGAGCAAUGAUUGGAAGUAGCAGACAUUAACAUUGAAAUUCAAAUGCAAAAUAAAAUAAAAAUAAUGUAUGACAAAAAAAAAAGAAAAAAAAUAAACAGAAACGAAUUAGGGAAAAAAAAAACUCACUUGCUUAUCUGUUUGGUUACUAAGAAAUAGCAUGAAUGGAAAUGAAAUGAAAAGAGAAUCAGCACUGAUUGUGUCAAAUUAUAAACAUUGUUUGAGAUCCUAAAAACAAGGAAUUUCUAAACGGUUUGUUAACUUUUCCUUUUUCAAAUUCCGCUAGACCGAACCACAAAAACCUCAAAAAUUUACAUUUUUUUUGGCUCUUAUUAUUUUUGCUUCUAAACACAAAAAAAGAAAAGAGAAAAGAGGAAAGGAAGUUACCUAAUAGAGAAAGAAGGGAGGGAGAAGCGUGGCGGAGGGGUAAUGGAGAAACGAGACAGAGAAGAGAAGGGAGAGAGAGAGUGAAGCAGAGAGAGUUGGGUCAUUUAUACUUUCUUCCUUUGCCUUGCUACUCUAUUCUCCCUCCGCUUCUUUUGUACUCCCCCACCCCCCUCCGUUAGGCACGGUGACUAAUAUUAACUUUAUUAAUUGGAUAGUAUAAUAUUCCCUCAUAUUUUUACAAAUAAAUAAAUAAAUUCAGGCUUUUGUAUUUACUAAUAGAUAAAUUGUAUUUUAUCUUUACAAAUAAAUAAAUAAAUUAGUCCUAUAAGUUAGAUCGAAAAGUAAAUUAGUUCUUUCAUUAAAAAUUUCUUUCAUUUUUACUGUAAAUUGCUGACAUGGACGAUGAAAUAAUCAGAUAAUAACUCAUUAUAAUGUGACAAUAUUUAAAAAAAUCUUUAAAUAAAUAUUUUUUUUAUAAUCAUUUAAAAACUUACCUUUAGGAUAAACUUGGAUAAAUGAUUGUUCAAGAUAACCAUUUGUCUAGAUUCAUCAUGAAUAUAAAAUUUUAAAUUAUUAUAAAAAUAAUCAUUUGUUCAACUCGUCAUGGACAUGAAUUUUCAAAUAAUUAUAAAAAUAUAUAUUUAAAAAUAAUUAAUAAUUAUAAUAAAUUUUAAAAAUAAUUAAAAACAACUUCUAGAAUGAAUUUAAAAAUUAAUGUUUAAAUAAUUAUAAAUAUAAUAAUAAAAUUUUUAAAAAUAUUAAUAAUUAUAUUUUUUUAAUUUUAAAAUUUAUAAAAAAUAUAUAUAAGGACAUAUAUUAUGUUUAAAGAAUUCAAAUAUAUAUAUACAUAUAUUCUUUUAAUCGAAUUAAUAUUUUUAGUUAAUUAAAUUGAUGUUCUUAUUUUAUUAAUUUAUUAUAAUUUAAAUAUAUAUACGCAAAUAUAUACAAUAGUAACAUUUCAUAUUAAUUUUUUAUUAUUAAUUUUUAAUUUUUUUAAAAAUUAUAAUUUUUAAAUAAUUUUUAUAUAUUAUUAUAAUUAUUUAAGAAAUCACUCAAUAACGAACCUAGACAAAUGAUUGUCAAGUAUUAUUUGAACUUGGACAACAGUUUGUCCAAGUUCAUUCUAGACAUUGCUUUUAAUAAUUUUAAUAUAUUUAUAAUUUUAAAUGUUUUUUUCAUAUUCUUUAUAAUUAUUUAAAAAAACCAUGUCUAGAAUGAAAUCGGACAAAUUUUAUUUAUUUUUAAUAUUUUUCUAUUUUUUAAAUAUUUGAUGAUGUGGCAAAAUGCCACAUUAACCUAAGGUGUAUAUGGCAAGUCAUGUGUCACUAUUUGGUUGGUCCAUCAACCAUGUCAGCAAUUAAUAGUAGAAGUGGAUGGAACUUUUAAUAAAAUGACUGGUUUAAUAUUUGAUCUAAUAUUCAAUGACUAAUUUGUCCAUUUUUUUAAUAGAGAAGACAAAAUGCAAUCUAACUCCUAAUACAAUGUCCUCCAUGGUACUUUCACCUAUUAACUUCAUAUAUGCAAGAUUACGGCACACCUACAAUGUGGGUAAAAAGUUUGUAACAAUUUUUUUAAAAAAUGAUGAUAUAAUAACUAAAUAUGACUUUAGUUAAAAUGGUAAUGUGGAAAUGAUAAAAAUCAUAAUAUAUUGGGUUUGAAUUUUAUCAUGCACAAGUAUUUAUUUUUAGAUUUUGCAUGAAAUGACAAAACUACUCUCAAAAUAAUAUUUAUUAUUUUGUAAAAAUAAUAUAUUUUUGAUAAUUUUAAAAUUGAAUUAAAACUCGAUUAAUAAAUUACAACAAAUCAAUCAAAAUUAAUUUUUCACAACCAUCAAAUUUCUCUUCAUUAAAUUUUCAAUUGAAGAUGGUGUUGUAUUGAGGAUUAAAACCCUUGACUGCAUUAGCAAAUUGAACUUCAACUUGAACUUACACAAGUUAUUUUUCAUUGGAUUAGUGUUACGGGGUUAGAACUUUAGUCUCGCAAAUCGCACGGUUUUAGGUUAUUCUUUAGCUUCAAAUAUGCCUAAGUCAGUUUUACUCUCGAAAGUGAGAAUUCGCAAAGAAAAUUUUCUAAGGCAUCGAAAUAAAGCGGAAGUAAACUCAAAAAUAAGAAGCAACGAAAGAACUAAAAAACAUAUAAGAAAGCAAUGCACACAAGGUGUUUAAAUAAGUGCUCUCAAAUAUAUUCAAUAACUAUUAAUGAAAUGAUUACAAAUGAGUGGAAGGCCUCUAUUUAUGGUUGAGCUCCUCCAAAUCUAACUGUACAGUUUAAAUAUAUUUGCAAGAAGAGAGUCUUAAGAUAUUUAAACUCUAUAUAAUUUUUCAAUAUAUUUUUUUGUCAAUUUGGCCUUUAUUCAUUUAAAUUUGACCACUAACCUUUUAAAAAGAGUCGAAUUGUUAUUUUUUUUAACAAAGAUACUUAUCAAAAGGUUCAAAUUUUAAACAUGGCAAUCUACGUGUAAUUCAAAGUUUUUAGAACUAGACCAGUAGUCGAAUCGAUCAGGCCAACGGUAAAAUCGAUUCAUACGGUUUGAUUAAAAAAUCAAUAAAAAUUCAUUAAAAAAACACGGUUCAACUAGUUCAACCUAUUUUUUAGCUUGGUUCAAUCGGUUUGUAUCAGUUCACAGGUCAACCUCCCUAAUGCCUCUCUAUGGACUGGUACCUUAGCCAGUUCUUGUUCCAACCAAUUCAACCAAUUGGUCUAAUCCAAUUCAAACAACCAUAGUGCAAUUCAUGCUAUUUGUUGAAUUUUAUGAAUUUUAUUAUAAUUUCUUUUUGAAUUUUUUAUACUUUUAAAUAUUUUAUAAUUUUUAAAUUAUUUGUUGACGUAACAUAUAAGACAAAUAAUGUCAAGUCAAUAUGAAGUACAUGUAGAUUGCCACAGGUUGCCAUGCCAACAUUAUUAAAAAAAUGUUUUAGUUAGCAUUACCGAUAAAAAAAAGUGUAACACCCUACACCUGACUCGAUCAUCGAGUCCGAGCUACACUAUGCCACAUUUGUUGUCGGAGCAACUAUGAUCAAAAUAAACACAAUUUAAGCCUUUUAGCAUUCAAAUAAAAGCAUUAUAAACAAAAAAAAAUAUGAUAAAUAAAUAUUAUCUAGUUUUGUAUAAGCUUACAAAAGCUUUAAUGUUAUCUUGUAAUCGAAUCAAGACUAAAUUGUGAAAAUUUUAAAUUACAAGGUAGACAUCGCGAUGUAAAAGAGUUCCUCCCUGCGACGUGACAUACUGACUUAGUUUGGUCAUGACGACGGGGUUCCUUGUUGUGCCAUGGCCUGGACUUCAACCCUCAUCGUGACAACAUGCGUUUUACGUUGCGACGUCACAUAUUGUUUCUGCAAUUUCUAAGUGUACAAACCUGUAAUUUUAAACCCAUCAAUGCAUAAUCAAACUUUUACCUUAUUUUGACCAAAUAUACAGUACCUAUAAGUUCCAUAAUAAGUCAUAACACUUUCUAUUCACAGAAAUAUCACUUUUUAACCAUCAAAUAAUUCCAAUCAUCCAAUCAUUCUUAUCAACUUACCUAAUUUCAUGACAUAUUAGAUGGAAACAUAUACACAUUCAUCACAUUAUAAUCAUAUUACCAUUUCAUGUAUCAUACCCUAAUCAAACUGGCAAAUCUAAGUUGCACAUAUAUAUAAAUAACAAACAUAUAACGCUUUUAAAACACUUAAUUCAAUAAGAUUCAGCCUAUUAGGUACAUGCCAGCUAACAACAAAAACAGAAAGCGAACAAACAUUUUUGAGUCUGGGAUCAAAUAUUGGAUGCUGAAAUUGAUACUCGGGAAUUUUGAAUUGAACCUAACCAGCUAUAACACCCCGAAUUCUAGGCUAGAGGUUCUAAGGUUUGUGGUUAGGGUCAGUGAGUAAGUUGUGCUAUUGUGUUUAGUUGCGCGUUUAAGUGAUAGAACAAGCCUGCUGGUCUGGUGGUUGGUAGUGUGUUAGUGUUCCUUUGGGUCCCGGGUUUAAGUCUUUACGAGUGUUUUGAGAGACCAUUUUUAUUUUGUUUUAAAGGUUUAGGUAAUUAUAUUCUUUACUGAGUGUUUAUUAUUAUGAUUAUUUUUAUUUUUAUUUUCUUUUGGACGUUCUCCUCUUGCUUUUUCUUUUGUUUUCUUUUUAUUUAUUCUUCUUUUCUUUUUUGAAAAGGGUGGUGUUGUGGUUUUCGAAGAGCUUCGCUUUCUUGGUCAUCGAGUUGGGAUUUGGACGUCUCUGGUUACAAAUUAGGUAUGGGUUUCAAAACUUUUUAAUUUUACUUGUGAAUUGUAAGUUUGACUUUGGUGGAAUGCGGCAAUCUAUGUGCCUUUUGGAAAUUGGUUAUCGAUGUUCGGUCAUAUCGAUUGAGGGUCGAUUUAGUGACUGAAAAACUCAAUUUUCAAACUAUUUGAGGGUGGUUUCGUGACCACACAAGUGGCCACACGGGCAUGUGCCCCCACACAGGCGGUUCAUACGGCCGUGUACAGUUAGGAAUUAGGGUUUUCGAUAAAAUUUGGUGCCACACGGCCCGGCCACACGGUCGGGUGGUUGAUUUAGGGAUUUUUAUCGAUUUUUGCACGGUCGUGUCCCCUGGGCACACGGGCGUGUGUGUUUGGGAAUCAGGGAUUUAGUGAUUUGGUGCCACACGGUCGUAUGGCUAAUUUGGGGAUUUAGGGAUCCCACAUGGGCGUGUGAGACCCUCACACGGCAGUGUCUGCCCUGUACUCUAUUUUAGCACAAAUGGAUAGAGAGUUACAUGGCCUGUUCACAUAGCCAUGUCCCUGGCCCACACGGGCAUGUGCCUCCUCCUAUACGGGCGUGUUGAUCCCCCACACGGGCGUGUUGACCUCUACUUGGUUUAGGCAUUUCCACACGGCCAGAGCACACGACCGUGUGGUCCUAAGUCAUCAACUUUAGUUCUGUGUAUGCUUUUUAUCUGAAAAUGUGUUUGAGUGUUCCGGCCCUUAGCUAGGAUUUAGUGAGGGUAGUUAAGACUCUGAUCUGGGCUUCAGCUUAUGUGUUAUUUGUGACUGUUAUGUGAGAUGUCUGAUCCUGAACCCGGUUAGCUGGAUGUGUGUGCAUAUCUGUUUCUGUCUGACUGUCUGUCGAUGUGUUCAUUGUUUCUGUGAGGGUGUAAGCAUACAUGCACUUGCAUAAAGAAAUUUUUGGGUUGGUUGCGAAGAGAAGGAAGAAUGAUUCUGAUAUGAUCUGGCAGUUUUUUUGCAACUUAUUCGUACAAUGAUUUGCCGCAUUGUACCGCACGUAUGUCAGCUUUGCUACGUACCAUUAUUUGAUAUGGUAGUUUUAACUACAACAUGUCUAUAUAGCGGAUUAUCGCAUUGCACUGUACUACAUAUACGCCAGCCCUGCUACGUGUUAAUAUCUGAGUGGCUUAGUCCGCAUAUAUGGUGUGUAGGGUUGGAUGGGCUUUUCGAGGUCCUAUGUGGUGUGUUUGGUUGGAUGAGCUUAAACAACUCUUUUAGGGUGUGAUUGGGGGAUGGAGAGGUGUUUUGGCUGGAUGGGUGGGUUUUUAUUACCUGACUGCAUUCAUACGCAUCUGUUUGAAUGUUCUGGGUGUAAGAUUAUCUGACUAUUUUCUGUCUGAUUGAAUAACACUUGUGACUGAGUGUUUGUGUCUUGGUGUGCUUGAGUUGUUUCGUUUUGUUGGGACGUUGGUUCCAAGUUUACUUUCUGACUCUGUGUAUAUCUCUAAGUCUGUUUCACUAUUGAAUUGAGUUCCGUAAAUCUGUUAUUAGUCUCGUAUCGAACUCACACUGAGCUCGUGUAGCUUACCCCUCCUUAGCGUUUCCCUUUUAAGGUACACUUCCGUUUUCUGUAGCUCGGACUCGGCAUGCUGGAGGUUUCAGAAGCGUCACAUUUUUUUUAAACUGGUUAAUAAAGUAUUUUCUAUAAAUCUGAGUUUUAUGUAAACAAUUUUGGACUGUAAGUUCUAUUUUAAAUACUGUGGUAUGAAAUUUUGUGUUAAAUGCAAAUAGACGUUAUUUGGUUUGAACAAUUGUAUUUUGGAAUAUCGAGUUUUGAUAACUGAAAAUUUUUACGUAACCUAAAUACUGUAAUUUUUUUCGGGUUGUUUUGUAAAAUUUUCCUACGAUCACUUCGGUGAUCAAUGUAACCUUCAAGAUUCGGUCCAAACUUCUAGGCCGGGUUUUGAGGCGUUACACCAACGCAGGGAAAACAAACCGUAUGUUGAGCAACACACUCAAUGAUAAAUCCUAUGAUACAAGUUAACAUAAACAUAAUUAUGCAAUGCACAUAAUUUAAUUUAAUUCCAUUCAUAAUCAAAUUUCGUACUAUUUUCAUUAAUUACAUCAAAUUCCAAUAAAUCAUGCUUACUCCUAUCUUAAUCACCUAAUCAAAUGUAUAUUCAUGCUACUUAUUCAAUUCCAUUCACAAUUUUCAUUCACAAUUCUAAUUAUCACCAUGGUAACUAAGCUUAUCAAACAUAUCAAAAAUAUGAUUACAAUCCUUUAGUAUACUUUACUUAUUCACAUAUGCCCAAUUUCAAGUAUCGUAUCAACAAUUCUGAGUCUAUAGCUUGGUCUUAUUCAAGUAACCCUUGGGCUUAUUUUCAACUCAAUUCAUACGGCAUCAUAUUUCACAUUUCCAUUUCAUUUCAUUCCACAAUCAUUUGAACAAUUCUUUUAUUUUUAACCCUGUUAACUAUACACAGACUCGGCACGGAUAUACAGGCCUGUCACCCCGAGUUGCCCGACAAUAAUGUUUAUCUCAACUUAAUUAAUUUGUUAUCUCGGGUUGCCCGGAAGCGAUGACUCAAGCAUAAUGUCUACCACUAUGGAUUUCCCGACAAUGAUGGUCUUACUCAGUACUCUGACCCUAUUGCAUACCAACUAUAUCCGACACAGUCCGAACAACUAAUAAGGUAACCAAUUUCCGUUUCAUUACAUAUAGAUCAAAUCACGUUCUUUUAUUAUCACUUUAUCAUCAAACUAUUAAUUUAUCAUAUAUCACUACAUGUUUCAAUUCAAUUUCAUACCAAAUAUCUAUUACCAAUCAAAUUCAUAAAUUUUUAUUUUAUUCAACUUAGUCCUUAACUCGAUAUGUAAUCUCAAAUAUACCAAAUCAGCUUAAAUAGUCAUCACUGACUUACCUCAAUGAUGUAUGAUGUAAAAUAUGAAAAUGCAACAAUUAAAUGAGUCUUGAAUCAUAGAAAUACAAAUCACAAAUUUCAAGCUAAUCGUCAACGAUAGAGGUGCUCAUGGGUCAGGUCGGGCCCAACCAAAAUUUUAGGCCCGUUUGAUAGGCAUGGGCCCAACCCGACUUGAAAAAUGGGCCUAAAAUUUUGUCCAAGCUCGACCCAUAUAAAAAUGUUAAAAUCCGGGUUCGACCCAAAUUAAUUUUUUAUAUUAUUUUUUAUAUAAAAUUUAUUUUUAAAAUAUAAUACAUCAAAAAUACUAAAAACAUUAAAAUAAAUGUUUCCCAAUAAAUUGAAAAUAAAUUUUUAAAAAAAUAUGUAUACUUAAAUAACACUAAGAUAGGUGCAAUUUAACAAGCAAAUGCCUCUAAAAUAAUAAUAAAAUUAACAAUAAAACACGAGUUAUACAAUAACAACAAAAUAGUAGCAACAUAAUAGAGAAAAAACAACAAGAAAAUAGAAAAAAGAGAGAGUAAAAAACAGAAACAAAAAAUUGUAGUUUUUUUUACAUAUUUGGGUUGGGCCGAAAAGACCUUAGGCCAGACCUAUUUUCUAAAUAGGUCUUAUUUUUUCUAAAGCCCAUAUUUCAGGCCUAUGUUUUUAUCCAAACCUUUCCACUUUUCGGGUAAGCCUUUGAGACAGGUUGGGUGGUCCGACCCAUGAGCAGUUCCAGUCAACGACUUUGGAUUUUCCUUUCCCUCUCGACGAAUCUGAGUCGAUGUUUGCUACGGAUUAACAUAAAACAUAUAGUACUAUCAAUAAUCAUCCAAUUCAUAAUCAAUUAUCAAUUUAUAAAAAAAUUAAUUUAUUCAAUUUAGUCCCUAAAACCGAGACUAACAUAACUUCUAAAUUAAAGCUUCAAAUUGAAUCCCGAUUUCACUAUUACUGAUUAGGGACCUCCUAUUUCUUAUUUUUACAACCAAUUUUACAUUUUAUUUAGUUUGGUCCCUAAUGUACAAAACUAUCAAUUAAGCUUUACAAUUUAGUCCUUUUUCACAUCUAAGCUUAAAAUCUAUCUACUUAACACCUAAAACUUCAAGAACUCAACAAUGGAAACUUCCUAAAACUUUAAAAGUUUUGCAAAUUGGUACAUGGACUAGCUAAAUCAAGCUCCUAUGACCUCAAAUCCAUAAAAAUUACAAGAAAAUGACUAAAUUGCACAUACCAAAUUAGGGUUGAAAACUUCAAAAUUCUUUAGAUUUUCUUUCUUCUUGUUUCAGUGUUUAAGAAGAAGAUGAUGAUAGCAUUCAUCUUUUUCUUCCACUAUCUUUAAUAUAUGUAUAUAUUAGUAAAUAAACUUUAAAUUAAUUAAGUUAAAAGCCAUUUAAUCAACCGUCCACUAGCAUAUAUAUUAGUAUGGUCUAAUUGCUAUUUUAAACAUUUGGUUAAUUGUAAUUUAAUUUUUCAAUUAAAAAUUUAUAGUGAUUAGACUUCACAAUUUAGUCCUUGAAUCUUAAUUAAUCAUUAAUUCGACAAAAAUUAUCUAUUCAAAAUUCAAUUUACUUAUAUAAUAACUCCAUAAAUAUUUAUGGGCUCGAUUUACAGAGACGAGGUUUUAGUCUUGAAACCCCCUUUUUCGACACCACUAGAAAUUGGGUCAUUACAAAAAGUGUUUUAACUCUAUUUGAAAUAUUAAUGACCAAAUUUAGCUCAAGAAAGAAAAAUAAAGACCAAAUUGAUAAAAUAUAUAAAUGCUAAAAGCUAAAUUUAUCAUUAGACCACAUUAAUAUGCUUUAUUGUAAAAGAAAGAAAAGGAUUGUAAGCUUCUUCUUUUUUCUUUUAAAUCUUUUAUUUUUUUUAUUACAGAAAUUUGGGAUAAAACAAAAUGAAAACAAAAGGAGUGAUAUUUUUAAAAUAUAAAAUAACUUUUAUAUACUUAUUGAUAGUAUGGUUUUUAGUUCAUGUUUUGUGUUGGGUUGAUUAUUUAUUCGUGUUAAAUAAGAGAGUAAAAAAUUGAAGGUUAAAAUAUUCUCUAAGUCUCUACACACUUACAUAUUUGGAAUUUUGGUCUCCCUACUUUUAUUUUCAAGAAUUUAAUCCCUCUACUUUUCGAAUUUAAAAAUUUAAGUUUAGUUGUUACCACCAUUAAAUUUCUUCUAUUAAAUUCUUUGGUAUGACAUUUUGAAAUUUAAAAAUCACUUGGUAGCCAUGUAAUAAUAAAAAUGAUGUUGAAAAUAUUGAUUAUGAUUUCUUAAAAAUACUCAUUCAAACUCGAUCGUCAUUAUAAAAUAAUUUUUUUUUAUGUUGGGAUAGUGUUCUUAAGAAAAAUUGACGCUGGUCAUGAGUUUUAAAGGCGAGAAUCGAACCCUCGAUCACUAGUUAAGAUAGAUGAGACCCUUAUAAUCUUCAUGGUUAAAGUCACAAUCAUUAUUAAUAUAAUUCUUGUAAUUGUACAAAAAAAAAAAUAAAACUUACAAUAAUACUAAUUCAUGAAGUGAUGAAUAUUCUACAAAGAUCCAUAAAUUUGAGUCAAAUAAACUUGAAUUAUUAUUUAACAAUAAAUUAUUUAAGGUUAACUAUAAACUAUAAUACUUAAAGAUAAAAUGCUUUUUAAUAUUCUAUUAUUUUAUAUAAUAAAUAACUUAAAUAAUAGUAUAAAUCCCUUAAUGCAAUGUGCAGUAAUGAAUUUGAGUGAAGAGCUGAAGUGUAUUGCUUACUUUGAAAUUUUAUUGAAGUUAAAAGAUUAAAAAGGUUUGAUUUAAAUGAGUUUUUAAUGUUCUCAUUCCUUUUAUGCAAUUAUAUGCAAUCAUUUUAGGCUUAAUACCUCUACUCUUGGGAUUUUAAAUUUGUUAAUUUAGCUUGUCUUAAAUUUAAUCAUUUAGUUUCCUUUAAUUAAAUACAUUUUUUUUGCAUUUUUAGUUCUUUUAAAAUAUUAAUAAUUUAAUUUAAGUUAUUCUAAUGUAAAACAUUUGGCUUCUUACACUAAUUCAAUUAAGAAAUUUUAAUAAAAAAAUAAUAUUAUUGAAAUAAUGGUGUUUUUGUGUUUUACUAUUUUUUAUUUGAAAUGUUAAAAUAAAACAACGAAAAAUGCAAUGUCUAAACCUAAAAAAUAUUUAACCAUUUCACCUAUACAUCAACUAUUAACUUUUUUAUAAAUAUGAAUUCAAUAUUAUAUUUUUCUUUCACUUGUAUUGUCAAUCUAACAAAAUCUAGUAAACAACAAUAUACCCCUUCACAUGAAAUUUUGAUUGAAUCAAUUAUUCAAAGUACCGUAUAAUACAUGAAUUACAUAAAUAAAUAAGAGAGGAUGAAUGGUAUGAUGUAUCAAAUGAGUACAUGAAUCCCAUUAAACAUAUACUAAUAACCCUUUAGGUACCUACUCAAAGUAUAUGUAUACCAAUAAAUUCAUCCAUAAUGAGAUUUAACUUUAAAUUUUUAAAAUUUUGAAAUUAAUUUUUUGCUAUUAAAGCUAAACUUUAUAGAAAUAAAAAUUUAGGGCAAGAUUUAUAAACAUAAAUAAGUUUUUAUAAACCAUUAAUAGAAUUAGGUAAGUUAUUUUAGCAUUUCCUAGAAACUUGAAGUACAGAAUUAACAUAAAGAAAAAACCGAUGCCCCCAAAGCAAGAAACAAAAUACAGCAAAUUGGGUUGAACAAAGUGGAGAAUUGUAGAUACUAUUAAGGCAAACAAACAAAAGGAGAUCGACCGGAUUUGACGAACAUGAUGAUUACCAUGCAAAUGGCAGUUUUGUUCACAAUUCAUAGUAAAGUAUUACAGCUUACAAUCAAAACAACAUCCUGAGCUAUUCUCUUUUUAUGUUUUCCCCCUAGAAUCUUUUUUUUUUUUAAUCAAUGCAUCAAUUGGAGCGAGUACAGUAAUUAAUUCUUCACAUUCUAUAAGUCCAUUAAGACAAUAGACAUUGAUAAUGAGUUUUAAAGCUAUUCCAUACUCAAUACGAAAAUAAAACUCUCGACUACUGGUUAAGGUAGAAAAGACUCGUACCUUCUCACCUAACAUCCAUGAUUAAAGCCCAAUCAUUAUUAAUAUAAUUUUUGUAAUUGUACAAAAAUUAGGGCUUACAGUAAUACUGGUUCAAGAGACGGACAUUCCACAAAGAUCUAUAAAUUCAAAUUCAUUAAACUGGAAUUACUAUUUAAUAAAAAAAUAUUUAAAGUUAAUUAAGAUAAAACACUUUUAAUGUUCUAUUAUUUUAUAUAAUAAAUAAUUUAAAUAAUAGUAUAUAUAAUAUUUAUAAAAUAAUUUUUAAUAUUAAAUUAUUAGACAAAAUAAUUAUUGGAUUAGGUUGGGUUAAAAUGAUUGAAAAAGACUUCAGGUUAAACUCAUGAACAAAGCUCCUAUAGAUGAUAAAUUAUAAUUCCACCAUCAUAGAAUAAUACUAUGAAAAUUCUCUUUUAUAUAUAGAAUAAAAAAAUAUUUUAUUUAUUAAAAGAAGGAUAUACCACAAUCUAUCAACUUUGUUCAUGGCAUAUAUAUGUAUAUAUGUGAAACAAUAAUUACAUUAACAAUCACCAAAAUAAAUGUAGCUGCCUUGGUAUUGACACCCUCUAAACUAUAAAUAGAGCUAUGGAUUUCUUACAGAUUUCACCAACAAGAGUUAAGUCAAAUAAAAGAAGAAGAAAAAAAAUGAAAGGGGUGGCAUGUACAUGGAUGCUACUCUCCAUGUGCCUUUUGGGGCAUCUCAUAAUAUAUGGAGAAGCCAACGAGGCAGAAGUCCUUGGUGACUUUCUUAAGUCCAGAUUGUCAAAGAAACCAUCUCCGACGGUGCAUUCUUGGGCAUGGUUAAAUGAGAAAACUGGGAAUUAUCCUAAUUAUAUUCAGCCUCAAGAUGGAUCCAUGGAGGCUGAUAAAAUCGGUGCAUUGCCUGGUCAACCUAAUGUUGUUGAUUUCAACCAUUAUUCAGGAUAUGUGACUGUUGAUUCUAAGGCUGGAAGAGCACUUUUCUACUAUUUUGCCGAGUCCCCCAACAACUCUUCCACAAAUCCAUUGGUUUUAUGGCUCAAUGGAGGUAUGGUUAUUGUCAAUUAUCAAUCGUUCUUCAUAUUUUCAUUUUACUUUUAAUGUUUCAAUCACAAGAAAAUUCUUUAAUUUUUCAUCCGGUUCCAAAGGUCGAGCUAGCAUUGCUUAAUUUAGAUCGACUUGGAUAAGAACAAUUUAAUAUCGAUUUGUUAAUUACUUUAUUUAUUUUUAAUUAUAAAAAUUUAUAAAUAUUAAUUUUUUUAAUUUUUAAUUAUAAGGUGAUAAUGGAUUCAAGUCGACAUACUGAAUUAUACUAAGCCAAAAAGAAGCUUGAACAAUUCAAACUGCAUCCAUGAACCAAUUCAUAGACAAAUUUAUUUUAUAAGUGAAGAGAUAAUGUUAUUUUUAAUAAAGGAUACAAAAUAUAAAUAUAAAAAUAUGGUGUUUUUAUCUAACAUACACUUUGAAAGUAUGGUCCUAACUUUAACAACUUCUAUUAAACUAAACAACUUGUUAAUUAGACAUCAUCUUUGGUUUCAUUUUUGGCAUUUUCAGGACCAGGAUGUUCUUCAUUAAUCGGAGCAAUGACGGAAUUAGGUCCUUUUAGAGUAAACAAUGAUGGCGAAACACUAUUCCGUAACAAUUUUGCAUGGAACAAUGGUCUUAUUUCUUCCUUUACUAUAAUCUACAUUUACAUUGUUAAUAGUAUAAACUAACUACAUUUUGGUUGAACUUUGACAGUGGCGAAUGUAAUCUUCUUGGAAUCACCAGCUGGAGUAGGCUUUUCCUAUUCGAAUACUUCCUCAGAUUACCAACAUACAGGUGACAAGAGCACUGCAAGAGAUGCCUAUACCUUUCUUAUCAACUGGCUCGAGAGGUUCCCUCAAUAUAAAACUCGAGAUUUCUACAUUACCGGAGAGAGUUACGCUGGUCACUAUGUGCCUCAGCUUGCUUACACCAUUUUUCUCAACAACAAGAAAGCAAAUCAAACCUUAAUUAAUCUUAAAGGCAUAGCAGUAUGUUCAAAUACGAAAUCAAUAUUAUUACAUGAAAUUCUCAUUUUAAAUUAUUUUUAAUAUACGUAUAUGAUUUGCAUUUGAAUAUAUUAAUCAUAUCCAUAUUAAAUAAGUAUACAAAUGUAAUGAUUUUGACCUAACUUUUCUUAUCGAUGGCAAAAUUUUUAGGUUGGGAAUGGUUGGAUUGAUGAUCAUACAGGCUAUUGGGGCCAAUUUGACUAUUUAUGGACACAUGCUUUGAAUUCAGAUGAAACUAACAAAGGAAUCCACACCUAUUGCCACUAUUUUAAUGAUAAAGAUCCAAAAGAGUGCGGUGACUUCGUAAUCAAAGCCUAUAAUGAGCCUGGUGAUAUUGAUGGAUAUAACAUUUAUGCCCCACUUUGUCAGCAAGAUUCUUCAUCAAUAAAAAACUCAUAUGAUUCGGUAAGUCAUCUUACUUUGUUACAUUAAUGGCUCCUAGUUAGAUAACAGGAUUUUGAAAUUUGAAAUUUAUUUUUCUCAUCAUCCAUUCAUUUAGGUUAGUAUUAAACACAAUAAAUAUUUUGUUGUUUGAAUUUUUUUUUCAAGAAGAAAGAAAAAGGGAUUGCAAGAUCGAUUUUCGAACUCUUACCUAUUGAAUUAUGUUGCUUUAGUUGUUUAUUGAUCUUAGAGUACUAUAUGACCAUUCCAUUAAUUCUCAAAAUACAUAAAAGAAUUCCAAUCUGAAUAGUAUAAUUGUUGAGUGCCACCUCUUAAAAGUGACAACAUUAACAAUUGGCUUGAAUCACUGAUUAUUCUUCUAAGUAGUUUUUAAUAUGAUCAAGGUUAACGUCUAAUGUAAUUAGACAAGUCUAAUAAGAAGCAAAAGUUGCAACCAUGGCAAAAAUAUUUAUAUUGAAAUAAUUUUCAAGAGAUGUUUAGAUAAAUUUGUAAUAACAUGGUAAUAUGAUUCUCAUUUCAGGUAAACAAUUUCGAUCCAUGUUCAACCUACUAUAUGUCGUCUUAUCUGAAUAGAGCAGAGGUCCAAACAGCUCUCCAUGCUAAGGUUUCAACAUGGGAUCUAUGCAGGUUGUAUCUAUGAUCCUGCUCUUUUGUCGCGGCUUCUAAAUUAAGAUUAUUAAGUUUGUUUUUUGUUAGUAUUUAUUUUAAUAUAUUUUAUAAUGUUAUAUCACUCAGCCACUCAAUUGAUAGUUGGAUUGAUAGUCCAGCCACUAUCUUACCUAUCAUCAAGAAUCUGAUGACAAGUGGUCUUCAAAUUUGGUUAUAUAGGUAAAAGCUCAGCUUACUUUUAUUUAGCAUAUUUGGACAUUUAUAACUUUUCUCCUACAACUAAUUAAGAUGGGAAAAUGUUGCAGUGGUGACGUAGAUUCAGUAGUCCCAAUUACCUCAACCAGGUAUGCUAUACAGAAACUCAAGCUUCCUGUCAAGGCUGCUUGGCGUCCAUGGUCCACCAACGACGAGGUAAAAACAAAACUUAAAUAUUACCAUUUUAUGCCUCUCUCUAUAACAUUUGAUACUUAAUUUAUUUUCUUUAAAAUAAAGUCAUAUUCUAUUAACAAGUUACCUCAACGAAUCAGUGUUAGGCUGACUUUACCUGAUCAAUUAAUACUAAGUUAUCAUACCUCAAAUCAACUACCUUCUUAGAUGCAAAUAUGACUUUCAACUUAACACUUGUUAUGGAUUUUCUUUUACAUAAGUAUACGUUUCGAGUUAUAACCAUUUUGCCUGAAAUUGUUGAAUGAGAACAAGCAGGUUGGAGGAUAUGUGGAGGAAUAUGAAGGGCUGACAUUGGUGACAGUGAGAGACGCAGGCCAUUUAGUUCCAAGCUACCAACCAGCUCGUGCUCUUACCAUGAUUUCAUCUUUCCUUCAAGGAGCUUUACCUCCGGCAUGAUCAUUUCAAAGCAACAUCAAUAGAUGAUUGAGCUAAUGAUUUUCUAUUUCAAAUAAUAAUAAUAAUAAAGGUACAUGAGACAAAUAUAAUGUUCGAAUGAUGAGCUUAUGUGUAUUGUUUAUUUUGAAAUUUGAUUUAUCUUAAAAAGAUUAAAAGGGUUUGAUUUAAAUGUGUGUUUUCUGUUGUCAUUUCUUUUAUGCCUAUACUUAUACUAAUUGAAUUAUGAUUAAAUGGUUUAUAUUUUAAAAAAUAAUUGAAUUAUAAAUAUAUCAAAUUAUAACAAAUGUUCAAUUUUAUGUGCCACAUAACAAUAAUUAUAAUUAUUCAAAAGAAUUUAACAAAUAGCAAAUAAUUAGUGAACAACCAAAUGAAGAACUUAAUAAUGCAUCCAAAAUAAAUUUAAACAACAAAACAUUAUAAAUUACUUUAAUUUCUAGCACACAUUUUAACCAUCCAUGCAAUUCAAAAAGUAGAAAAUAUUACCAUCAAAUUAGAAUUUAAACCUAAUGAAACAAGUAUCUUUAACCAAUCUUAGAUCAACCAAAAUAAAAAAAAAAUUCAGAUUUAAAAAUUUAGAUGCAAUUAAUUUUUUUUUUUAAAUUUGUUGGAAUGACAUCCUAAAAUUAGAAAAAGGAACCCAUUUGAUAAUUAUGUAAUAGAAAAUGACAUUAUAAUAGAUCUGAAUUGAAUUUUAUAAAGAAUUUCAACCGUGUUAAGAAUUCUUAAAAUUAAUGUUAGUAUUUUAAUCAAAAUAAAGUAUUUAAAUUAUCUAAUGGCAUUGUACAUGUUGAGGUACCAAUUUAUGCCAAAAAUUAAAGUAUAAUGAUUAAAUCUUAAAUUUAAGUGGAGUAUAAGGAUAGAAAUUGAAACUAAUCUAAAACAAUAGAGGGAUCAUAAUUAAAAUUAUAAGGUAAAAAGAAAAAGAAACGUGACUAAGAGAGAGGGAAGUGGAUGGUUUGGGAAGAAGGAAAAUUAGGGAACUUUAUUAUUUAAAAAAAAUAAAAAUAAAAAAAGAAUAAAUCAAGAAGAGUUUGAUAAAAUCUAACCCACCAGCACAUUUAGAGUUUAAAGUUACCCAAACUACUAACAAAGGACAAAAAGAAAUCCCCUCUUUACACACACCAAAACAAACACUUCAUGAUGUUAACCACCUAACCAAAUUAAACUACUUAACAUGUUUCAAGCAAUUUAAAUAAAAGAAAGUUGGGUAGUUACACACUAGAUCCAACACUAGAACCUUUGGUGCAUCUCUCACUUUCAUGGAGCAUCCUCAGCAUGCAAAAUAGGCAACUCUGGGUAUGUCAUCCCAUUUGCUACUUUAUUUGCUCAAGCACCCUCUGUUGAGAAUUCGUCCGGAUGGUUUUGAGGUAGGUCACUUUAUAACAUACCUCUUGACUAAAUGGGAUAUUUGUUAUACCCUUACCCCAACAAUGACAUGUGGCUGAACAUAGGGCAGUUUGGAAAGAACCCCCAUUGGAUGUGACCUACAAGUGAUCAUUUGUUUGAUACCUUUUAUGGUGGCCCUUCGACUAAUCCAUGACCAACCAUUCGCAAAUCCUACUUGAACCAGCUAAGACACCAUCCGCUAUGAACCUUUCCAUGGGGACUACUGGGAGACCAUUGAGGCAUAGCAACAUCGUACAACCUCCGUAAGGAGAAUGUUAGAGCAAGACCACAUAGUACAACACAUGCUAACAAUUGUUCUACAAUGGCCCUACCACCUAGCCGACCACAUGGGCUAACCUACCAUCCAUAUUGUCAGCCACAUGGCACUACCCCUCAUAUAUACCCUUGAACAUGAUGGGCAAAGGAUCCUAUCUUUUUCCCCAAGAAAACCUAAAUAUCUUUGCAACUAUCUCCUAUUUCCGUCUCCCUUCUUUCUCCUCUCCUCUCCCUUUAAUCUCUUACCCAUACUUCGACUCUCUAUCUAUCACAAGUGAACCGAUCCUCCAAUCACCACUGUCUUCUCUUCCUUAUCUCCCUUUUGUUAAGCAUUUGUAUCAACACAAAAAAUAGAAGGAUGGGAGGUAGAAUUAGACCAUCAUUUUGUACAUGUAGAAAAAUAGAUUACAUAUAUCUCAUCAUAUAAGCAUCAAUAUGUAUCUUACAAGAAAUUUUUAUUGAAUCAAUAAUUCAAUGUACCAUAUGAUACAUAGAUUACAUAAACAGGAGAGGAUAAAUAAUACCAUGUACUACAUGAGUACAUGAAUCCCAUAAAGCAUACUAAUGAUCCUUUAUGUAUUUAGUCAUUCACAACAUGAAAAAUGCUAUAUUACAAUAAAUUCAUACUUGAUGAGAUUUAUCUUUAAAAUUUUGAAAUUUUUAAUAUGUUUUUUUACCAUUAAAUCAAAAUUUUAUCAGAAUAAAAAUUUGAUGUGAAAGAAUUUAUAAACAUAAAUAAAUUUUUAUAAACUCAUAAACAUAAAUUAUUAAUUCAAUCAAUUUGGUUAAUUGAUUUUUUUAAAAUAAUAAGUGAUCGAAUUCUUCAAAAUGUUUUUUUUUUAAUGAAAGAUGUAGUUCUGAUUUAAUUAUUAACUGAAAUAAUCGAAAUAUUUAAUUAAGUUAGCUAAGUUAUUUUAGCAUUUUCUAAAAAAUUGAAUUACAAAAUUAACAGAUAAGUUGGAAGAAAAAAAAAUGAUGCCUCCAAAGCCAGAAACAGAAUACAGCAAAUUGGGUUGAACGAAGUGUUGAUUUGUCGAUACUAUGCAAAUGAUAGCUUUGUUAUAUAUUAAUGUAAUUCUUGUAAUUGUAUUUUCUAGGGAAAAAAAUUCCUUGCAAUUGUACAAAUAUUAGAGCUUAAAUUCGACAAAGAUUUUAUAAAUUCGAGUAAGUUGGACUUGAAUUAUUAUUUAAUGACAAAAAAAUAUUUAAGGUUAAUUAUAAAAUAAUAAUGAAUGAAGGAGAAAUAAUAUAAAAAUAAUGAAUUUUUAAAAAAUAACAACAAUUUAUUUAUUUUAAUUAUUAUCAUAAAACUUCAACCUGUGUUAUCUAAGUGCCACAUAACACUGUUCCAAGUAAAAUUUGAUAUAAGAUAAACUAAUGAAAAUAUAAAUUAUUAUGUAAAUUAAAUUUUGGUUGCAUAGGUAAGAUUGAAUUUUUAGAAUGUUAUGGACCAAGUUCAAAACCUUAAAAAAAUAUUUUUAUUUUAUUUUUAAAAAAAAUUAAGAUUUGUUUUUUAAAAAAAAAAUUAACUUUAGACUAAAACGUAGACUUAAUAAUUUUAGUGACUUUGAGAAUAAUUUAUUUUUUAAAAGUUUCAUCAUUUAAUACUUUUUUUUAAAUUAGGAUAAUGUUUGAUUGAUUUGAGGCAAACAAGUCUGUGAGUCACUUAAUUACUAAUAUAAAUAAUAUUUAUAUAAAAUAAUUCCUAGUAUUCUACUAGUUAUAAAAAAAUAUUAUUGGAUUAGUUGAAAAAGACUUCAAGUUCAACUCAUCAACAAAUCUAAAUGAUUAAUUAUUAUCUCAUUGAAAAUUUUCUUUUAAAAAACAGAAUAAAAAUAAUUAUUUUAUUUAUUAAAAGAAGGAUAUACGACAAUUUAUCAACUUUUUUCAUGAUAUAUAUAUAAAUGGCUACAUAUAUGAGGGCAAUUUACCAAUAAAAGCCGUUUUUUUAAAAAUUACCGAAAUGGGCCUAUUAUUUAAUUAUUUACCAGAAUGAUCUAUUUUCCGGCAAAUCGCGUCCACAUCAGCACAAUGUCAGGGGGCGCGAUUUGUUGCCACGUCAGCAAAGCGCUCUGACGUGGCCGCGAUUUCCUUACACGUAACGCGUUCCGGGGAACGCGAUUUUGCCGUGUUUUCCACGUUAGGUUUUUUUGGCUUUUAGGGUUUAGGGUUCAGGCUUUUUAGGGUUUUUACGUCCUGGAAGAAAUAAUUUCGAGUUAACGUUUCUGAUCAAAUAGUAUAAAAUCGCUUCUAGUAGGAUGCUAUUUGAGAAGAAUUUGUGAAAUCCUCGUGGACACGCUUUUGCUACAGUAGGUCAUGGAUGAAAUAAUUUUUUUUGACGUUUCUGAGCAAAUAGUAUAAAAUCGAUUCUAGCAGGAUGCUAUUUGAGACGAAUUAGUGAAAUCGCGCCCUCGUGGACGCGCUUUUGCUACAGUAGGUCAUGGAAGAAAUAUUUUUUUUUGACGUUUCUGAGCAAAUAGUAUAAAAUCGCUUCUAGCAGGAUGCUAUUUGAGAAGAGUUUGUGAAAUCACGGCUUCGUGGACGCGUUUUUGCUACAGUAGCAUGUUUGGGCUGAGGCUAUAAAUUAGGCAGAAAAUGUUCUCAGAAUGCAUAAGUCACAACAGAAACAAUUUAGAGAGGCUAAGAAGGUUAGAGUUUCAAAUAUGAGUGAACGUAUUAAUGUUGUUAUUUACUACAAUGGUGAGGUUUGCCACACCAAGAAUGGUGUUAUUUUUUUGUCGGAGAAUACGGUGCAACUAUUUUUUAACUGGAACAUAGAUUUAACAGAACUUCGUAAAAGAAUUAGGCGUAAAAUUUUCGGAACGACGCCAAUGAAAGUUCUGUCUAUCACGUAUCGAUUUUGUUCUUCUGUUGAUCUGGUGACAUAUGACUCGUUCGACAUAAAAAGUGCUCGUAGCUUGGAGGCAAUGGUGCAGACUCAUCUUGCUAGUGGAGCACAUUAUAUUGAGUUAUAUGUACAAUUUACAUCGCCAAGUGAUGUACUUGCGACCAGUGUUCGAGAUGUAUACACGACCCUUGGCCGACACUCGGUUAGCGGGUUACAAAAUACGGAACAGCCCAUGUUGGGUAGCGGUGUCGAAUGCACAUCCCCUGCAAGACACUCUGUCGGUGGAUGAGACAUGUACGUCGAUGGCUCGAUGUUUGAUGCUGGAAAUACGUAUUGGGGAACGGCAUCAAGUUCUAAUAGGUGGAAUUCUACAUCCAAUUGGGGACAUUAUCAAAUACCCAGAAGAAGGGAUAAUGUACUCCCUACGACGUCAACCGGUGAGGGGACCUCGUACGCUGCAGAUGAUUGUGGGUUAGGAGAUGAGUCUGAUGUGGAUCCACCUCGAGAACCCGGGCUGAAUGGUGCAGAAGUUAGCUUAUUUUUUGAACCGGAGCCUAUUCCAACAGAACCUGAAGAUGCUGAAAGGAGUUCAGAUGAAGAAGAAAAUCCACGAUUCAGAGCAUACUCACCUCCAGCCCACAUGCAUAAUAUCGAUCUGUCUGCAGAUGAUGCGUUAGAGUUUCCAGAUCUACCACACUGGUUGUGUGAUCGUACAAGUUCGGGGGUAGAUUCCGAUGAAUUUGAAGUUGGUAAUCAGUUUACCAACAAGGAUAGUUUUAUUCGUGCUUUGAAACAACAUAGCAUCAAAAACGGCGUUAACUACCACGUCGUUAAAUCCAAAUCUGAUAAGUUUAAGGCGAAGUGUGCGGUCCAAGACGGCACAUGUUCAUGGAAAAUCUAUGUCUCGUUAAGGAAAAGGAUAGGGUUGUGGGAGAUCAAAAAGUACAAAGGUCCACAUACAUGUGCUACAGGUAUAGUAUUGACGGUUUCUGAAUAAUACUUUUAUUAUGCAAUGUUGCAUUAUUUAAUGUACUCGGUUUACAGGUGUUUCACAAGAUCAUCCCAAGAUGGAUUCAGCUAUGUUAGCUAGCUUGAUACUGCCCACGGUAAAAGCAGAUCCCAAGACUUCAGUGCCGGUGUUAAUUGCCACUAUCCGUAGCCAAAUGGGGUACACGCCCUCUUACCGCAAGGCUUGGAUAGCUAAGCAAAAGAUAUUGGAGAAGAUGCAUAGUGGGUGGGACGCCUCAUAUAAUGAAAUAUUGCAGUGGUGUCAGGUGCUAGAGAGAUACGUCCCAGGUGCCAUCACAAACCUUGAAACGGAACAUGCGUACUACAACGGCCGAUUGCUACGUGGAUGCGAAGUGUUCAAACGUCUGUUUUGGACCUUUAAACAAUACCGAGACGCAUUUCCAUACUGCAAGCCGUUGGUACAAAUCAACCGUGCCCAUGAUUGCAGUAGUGACAGGCAACCUCCGAUUUUUGCUCUCCUCGGUAGCGUCACCCUGCACAUAUCCCGAUAUAACGUUGCCAAGACGGUAGACCCCCAACUCAAUUCACCAGCUACUCUAAAAUCAACGAGUUUCAGCAGCCAUCUUAGAUGUACGCGGCUCUGUGACAUGUCGGGCAUCAGAUAACCUCCAAUUAAUUGAAGAAUGUAUGCCCGAGCUUAUCGAAUUCUUUCAAUUUCGUUUGAAUCUUCAUCUGGAUUAGGGAAUGUGUCACGUAACCAACCCAUCUCGAUCUUACCUCCCUCUAUUUUCUCCGGAAUAGCGCUCAAAAGCUCGUAGCACACCGCCCCUAAUCGCUAGAUUAGGCAGACCAGGUGACUGGAUACCCGUCCACCGACAAUCCCAAUUGCAGACUGACAUCUUCUAGAGUGAUAGUGCACUCUCCACAUGGAAGAUGGAAUGUACGCGUCCUGGGUCUCCACCUCUCGAUCAAUGCACUGAUUAGUUUCGGGUCCACCUUGUAUCCCCGGCCUACCGUCGUCACGUGCCAAAAACCUGCUUCUCGCAGGUAGUUCUCUACCAACGGUGAUGGAGGAGCAUGCAUAUUUCGGAUAUUGCAUUCCAAUACCCGAUCUACAGACUUUUAUAACAAAUAAUAAAUUAAUAAUUAUCUAAAAAUACAUUAAUAAAAAAUUCUUAAAUAAUAUUUAAAAAUUAAAUUUAACACUUACCAUUUUCAUUUGUUCCACCGAUAUGUGAUGCUUAUCAAUACGAGUCAAUUCUCCGGCCAUUGCUGAAAUCGUACAAAUUUUUAUGGUUUAAAAAAUUUUUAAAAAUAUUUUUAAAAUUAUUUAAAAAAGGGAGUUAAGAUAAAUUUAAGAGGACCUUGAGAGAAAAUUGAAAUUAAAUAUGGAUUUGAGAGAAUUUUUGAGGAAAUUGAGAGGAAAUUGAAAGGAAAUUUGAGAAAGGAUUAGUUUGUGAAAAAAAAGGAGUGGGGGGUAUUUAUAGUUUUUUUUUACCGUUGGGGGGGGCAACGAUCAAAUUUUUGACCGUUGGAGCACUGUUCAUGCGCGGAACAAAUCGCAGCCACAUUAGCGCGCUGUGCUGACGUGGCAGCAAAUCGCGUCCUAGAGGGCGCGAUUUGUUGCCAUGUCAGCAAAGCGCGCUGACAUGGAAGCGAUUUCCUAGCGCGUCCCCUGACAUAGUGCUGACGUGGACGCGAUUUGUCAGAAAAUGGACUAUUCCGAUAAAUAAUUAAAUAAUGGGCCCAUUUCGGUAAUUUUUUUAAAAAAUGGCUUUUUUGUGUAAAUUGCCCCAUAUAUGAAAUAACAAUUGCAUUAUUAAUCGCCAAAAUAAAAUCUAGUUGUCUUAAUCUUGACGCCCUCUAAACUAUAAAUAAGAUUAGAAUUUCUUACAGAUUUCACCAAUAACAAUAAAGUCAAACAAUAGAAAAAAAGAUGAAAAGGGUGUCAUAUACAUGGAUGCUACUCUCCAUAUGCCUUUUGUGGCAUCUCAUAAUAUAUGGAGAAGCUAAUGAGGCAGAAGUCCUUAAUAACUUUCUCAAGUCCAGAUUGUCAAAGAAACCAUCUCCGGUAGUGCAUUCUUGGGCAUGGUUGAAUGAGAAAACUGGGAAUUAUCCUAAUUAUAUUCAGCCUCAAGAUGGAUCCAUGGAGACUGAUAAAAUUAGUGCAUUGCCUGGUCAACAUAAUGGUGUUGAUUUCAACCAUUAUACAGGAUGUGUGACUGUUGAUUCUAAGGCUGGUAGAGCACUUUUCUACUAUUUUGUCGAGUCACCAGACAACUCUUCCACAAAUCCAUUGGUUUUAUGGCUCAAUGGAGGUAUGGUUAUUGUCAAUCAUCUAUCGUUAUGAGUCAUUGUGUAUACUCUAAUCAUUCUUCAUAUUUGCAUUUUACUUUUUAAUGUUUCAAUCACAUGAAAAUUCUUUAAUUUUUCAUCUGGUUUAUAUUAAAUCCACCAAAAGAAAGAGCUAACAUUGCUUAAUUUGGAUAGGCUUGGAUUUUUUAUUUUGAUUUAUUAAUAAAAAAUAGUUUUACUUUAAAUUUAAUUAUACGAAUUUAAUUGAUACAAUGCCUAGAACUAAAUGCGCUUUAACCCGUUCGAACCCAUGUUCUUCUACUGCCAACAAUGUCGAUAUCAUCCAAGCUAAGACUCAAUCAGCUAAUUGUAAGAAUUUAUCAAUAUUAGUAUUUUUUAAAAAAAUUAAUUAUAACAUGAUAAUGGAUUCAAGCCGACAAACUGAAUUAAAUUAGACCAAAAACAAGUCUAGACAAUUCAGACUACAUCCUAGUACGAACCAAUUCAUGGACAAAUUUAUUUUACAAGUGAAGAGAUAAUAUUUUCUUUUUUUAUGAAGGAGAAUAAGAGGGCAUUUUUUACCUAACAUACACUUUGAGAGUAUGGUCCUAAAACAAUUUCUAUUAAACUAAACAACAUGUUAAUUAAUCCUCAUCUUUGGUUUAAUUUCCAACAAUUUCAGGACCAGGAUGCUCUUCAUUAAUUGGAGCAAUGACGGAAUUAGCCCUUUCAGAGUAAAUAAUGAUGGCGAAACACUUUUUCGUAACAAUUUUGCAUGGAACAAUGGUCUUACUUCUUCCUUUAAGAUGGUCUAUAUUUACAUUGUUACUACUAGAAAUUAACUAUAUUUUGAUUGAACUUUGACAGUGGCAAACAUUAUCUUCUUAGAAUCACCAGUUGGAGUAGGCUUUUCAUAUUCGAAUACCUCCACUGAUUAUCAACAUACAGGUGAUAAGAGCACUGCAAAAGAUGCGUAUGCCUUUCUUGUCAACUGGCUUGAGAGGUUCCCUCGAUAUGAAACCCGAGAUUUCUACAUUACCGGAGAGAGUUACACUGGCCACUAUGUGCCUCAACUUGCUUAUACCAUUUUUCUCAACAACAAGAAUGCAAAUCAAACCCUAAUUAAUCUUAAAGGCAUAGCAGUAUGUUCAAAUACGAAAUUAACAUUAUUACUCGAACUUUUCAUUUUAAAUUGUAUUUAAUGUAUGUAUUUGAAUAUAUUAAGCAUACCCAUACGAAAUAAGCAUUAGAUAACUAUACAAAUGUAAUGAUUUUGACCUAACUUGGUGGUAAAUUUGUAGGUUGGGAAUGGUUGGAUCGAUGACAGUACAAAUGCUUUGGGCCGAUUUGAUUAUUUAUGAACACAUGCUUUGAAUUCAGAUGAAACUAAUAAAGGAAUCCACACCUAUUGUCACUAUUUAAACGGUAAAGAUCCAAAAGAGUGUGGUAACUUCAAAUCCAAAGCGUAUAAUGAGUUUGGUGAUAUUAAUCGGUAUAACAUUUAUGCGCUGCUUUGUCAACAAAAUUCUUCAUCAAUAAAAACUUCAUACUGUUCGGUAAGUCUUACUUUCUUACAUUAAUGACUCACUAUUAGAUAACCAAAUGUACCCAUUGUCGAAACCAACUUUUUAUUUUUGGAAAAAAAACAAAAAUUAGUUGUCGAUUAAAAUUUGGAGUCGCCACCAAUAUUUUAUUAAGGUGUGAUUGGGUCACCUAAAAACGACUUUGGUCUACGAAUUUUAGAAAAACGGGUCCGGGAGUCGGUUACGUAUGAGAAAGGAUUAGCACCCUCAUAACGCCCAAAAAUUGGUACCUAGUUAAUUAAUUAAUGUCUUAAUGUCGAAAAUUUGAAAAUAUAUAAUCCUUAGCAAAAACUUAAAAACGUUACAUAUUAAGACCCUUAUCAUUUCAGAGAAAGAAAAUGUCACACCCAAUGCGUUAGGGCACGAAAUUCUAAUUUCCUCAAAAAUGAAUUAGACCAGAAUACUCGUGUAAUAAAAAUUUAAAAGAAUAUCUAUUUAUUCAAGAUUUAAGAAAUCGCGACCCAAUACGUUAGGGCACAAUUCCUCCAAAAUCCAAACUUGAAAUAUUUCCUUUAUUAUUUUUUUAGAGAAAAUCUUCAUUUCGAGAAAUCAAUGCGUCACAUCCAAUACGUUAGGACACAACGUGUUGAAUUCCCAAUAAUGAGUUCUUAUUUUUUUGAUUAAAGAGAAAUACUCGAUUGUUAGAUUUAACGAAGAAAAUCAGAACCCAAUACAUUAGGGCCCAAUUUCCUUGAAAAUCCUAAAUACAAGCAUUAUCUCAAUUUUGAAAAGUUUGAAAUCGAGUAAAAAAAUGAUGUGAUGCUACAUUAAAUAUACAAUGCAAUAAUAAAUAUUACAAUGGCAUAGAAAUAAUAUGAAUAAAUGAAUAAACAAAAUCGAUAACAUGCAAAGUAUCAAAUAAAUAAACAAAAUAAAAAAUAUUCUUUUAAAAUAUAAAUGACAACCUAAAUCAAUAAACAAAUGGAGGAAAUAAACAAAAAUAUAAAGAAUAAGAGGUACAAAAUAUAUAUACAUUUGAAAUUAUGAAAAACAAGAUAAAAAUAUCAAAGUAUGUAUAUGUAUAUAUUUACAAAAUAAAAAAGGUGUAUAAGUAUAUAUUGGUAAAUCAUGAAAAUACAUAUAUAUAAGUAUUUAAACACUUAUAUAUAUGUACAAUAUGUAUAUACAUAACGGAAUAUAUAGAAUAAAAAAAACUUAUAAUGAUUUAAAAGUAAAAUAACAAAAAUGUAUAUACUAUAGAAAAUGAAUAUAAAAAAACCAUAUGUAUAAAAUAUAUAUAGGUAGACGUAUACUGUAAAAAAAAGCAUAUAUAUAUUAUAUAAAAAACCAAUGCGUGCAUACUAUAUAAAAAAUGCAUAUAUAUAUUAUAUAAAAAACGCGUGCAUACUAUAUAUAAAAAUGCGUAUAUAUAUUAUUAUAAAAAAUGUGUAUGUAUAUAUAUAGUAAUAAUAAUAAUAAUAAUAAUAAUAAUAAUAACAAUAAUAAUUAUAAAAAUAAUAAUAACAAUGUUAACAAAAUAAACUAAAGAAACCUAAAAUGAAAGAUUAAAGAUUAAACUGAAAACUAAACGGAGUUAAAAGGCUGAAUUUAAAGAUAGAAAACACUAAAGGGGACUAAAUUAAAACGCGCGCAACAGGGGGAGGACCCAAAGGGGAAUUAAUCCCACCCUCCAAAAAGCUGCGUCUUAAUAAGGACCAAAGUGAAACAAAAAUAAAACGUGUGGCUGAAUUUAAAAGAAAUAAAAGAAAAUGAUUAAACAUACUUCAAAAAACAAAGGACCCAAUAGAUAAAUAGCCCACCAAGGGUCCAAACAGGCAAAUCCAUAGCCAUUAAACGACACUAUUUUUCAAACCCCAAAAAACUUUUAACAAACAUUUCAUUUCAUUUUCUUCAAAAACAGAGAAGGGAGGGGAGAACUCUCUGCUAGGGUUUUCUUAACCCAAACCCCAGCCACACCACUGCCAUGACGCCGCCCACAGCACCACCCUUGACGGCAGUUUGAAGGGACCGAACCAAAGGUAAGCACCUCCAUUCUUUUUUUUCUUAUUAUUUUCUACUAUUAGAAGAUAUAAAAACAUGUAAACAAAAUCGAAAGAAAAAAAAACUCUAAAAACGACGAAAAUCACCUUUCCAAAAAAAUGUUUUCUGAUUCUUUGUUCUUGUAUUUUUUCAAUUCAACAUUCCUUUCCCGCUUUUCCUUUUUUUUAUUUGAUUUCCCCCCUUUUUAUAUUUUAAGAGAAAAAAUAAAAAAAAAGUAAAUAAUAAAUAAUAAAUAAAAUCAAACACCCACAAAGUAAACUAAAAAAUAAUCACCUCCGUUUUCCAAAAAUUUUGAAUCUGUUUUCUUUUCUUUGUAUUCUCUUUCGUUCCAAAAAAAAAAUCCUCUGUUACAAUGUUUGAGUCUGCUUUUUAUAGCAGACCAAUGAAAAAAAAGAAAAAAGGUAUGAAAUUUCUAUUGCAUCUUUGCUUGCUGAAUUUCCUCCGAGUUUCUCGUUAUUCUGCCGAUUCUAUCUUGUUGCCUUUCUUGUCGUGCAGGUGAAGGCGGCUCGUGCAAGGCGCUUGGAUGCGGUGCUAAAGACUCCCUUAGAAACCCUAGGGUUUCUUCAUUUGUUUUGGGGCACUUGUAUUUUGGGCCUUGUAUUCUGGGCCAGCUUGUUAAAAUACUGGAUUUUUUUAUUUUAUUUUUAUUUAUAAAAGGGCCGGGUAAAAUUUAGGUAUUACACUCAUGAAUUUGAGAUUCAUUUUUUCUCAUCAUCCCUACAUUGAGGUCAAUAUUAAACACAAUAGUAAUUUGGUUGUUUGAAUUCUUUCUUCCUUUUUCAAAGAUCGAAACAAGGAUUGCAAAAGCAUCUACUCAACUAUGUUGCUUCAACUCUUUAUUUAUUUUGAAGUGCUUUUGUAUAAUGCGUAUUCAAAUAUAAAAGAUAUGAUCAUUUCAUUUAGGGUUUAGAAUUUAAGAUCAAGAACUUACAAAAUCAUUCGAAUUUGAAUAAUAUAAUUGCUAGUGCUCCCUGUUACAAGUAGCAACAAAAGCAAUUGGCUUGAAUCUUUGAUUAUUCUUCUACAUAGUUUUUAAUUUGAUCAUGGUUCACGUCUAAUGAAAUCGGACAAAUAAAAUAAGAAGCAAAAGAUGCGAUCAUGGAAAUAACAUUUAUUAUUGGAAUAGUUUUCAAGAGAUUUUUGGACAAAUUUGUAGAAACAUAGUCAUAUGAUUCUCAUUUCAGGUAAGCAAUUUCGAUCCAUGUUCAAACCACUAUUUGUAUUCUUAUCUGCAUAGAGCAGAGGUUCAAACAGCUCUCCAUACUAAGGUUUCAAAAUGGGAUCUAUGCAGGUUAUAUCCAUCAUCUUGCUCUUUUGUCGUGAGUUCAUUAUUAAUGUUUUUUGAGAGUAUUAUGUAACUAAAAUAUCAUAUUAUAUUAUAUCACUCAGCGACUCAAUUAAUAGUUGGAGUGAUACCCCAACCACUGUCUUACCUAUCAUCAAGAAUCUGAUGGCAAGUGGUCUCAAAAUCUGGUUAUAUAGGUAAAAUAUUUUACAAAUUUGAAUUGUGGAUUUAGUUUAAUUGAUUUAUGCAAUCGUUUUAAGAAAUAUCGUUAGAUAAAUUUGAUUUUAAAUCUCAAUGUUUAACUUGACUGAUAUAAUCAUCUUGGCAUUUGAGAUGGUUGGAUUUGAAUGUCAGCAAGAACUUUUCUCCCACCCCUACGCUACAUCAAGUUCAAUAUUUAGAACUAAUUAAGAUGGGAAAAUGUUGCAGUGGUGACGUAGAUUCAGUUGUCCCAAUUAGGUAUGCUAUAAAUAAGCUCAAGCUUCCCGUCAAGACUGCUUGGCGUCCAUGGUCCAUCAACGACGAGGUAAAAACAAAACUCAAAUAUUAACAUCAUUAAUCUAUCGCACAUCAAAUCAAAUACUCCUUUAAAUGUUGAUAUGACAUUCAACUCAACGCUUGUUAUGAUUUUUCUUUUUCAUAAGUAUACGUUUUUUUGCUGAAAUUGCUGAAUGGAAACAAGCAGGUUGGAGGAUAUGUGGAGGAAUAUGAGGGGCUAACUUCGGUGACAGUGAGAGACGCAGGCCAUUUUGUUCCAAGCUACCAACCAGCUCGUGCUCUUACCAUGAUUUCAUCGUUCCUUCAAGGAGUUCUGCCUCCACCAUGAUCAUUUCAAAGCAAUAUCUAUAGAUGAUUAUGUAAAUGGUUUUCUAUAUUUUAAGUAAAUGAGACGAAUAUACCUUAAUGCAAUGUGCAUUAAUGAACUUGAGUGAAGACUUGAUGUGUAUUGCUUACUUUGAAAUUUUAUUGAAGUUAAAAAGGUUUGAUUUAAAUGUGUUUUUUUAAUGUUCUCAUUCUUUUUAUGCAAUUAUAUGUUUCUAUUAAGCAAUCAUUGCCAAUAUAUGCAAUCAUUUUAGGCUUAAUACCUCUACUCUUGGAAUUUUAAAUUUAUUAAUUUAGCUUAUCUCAAAUUUAAUCAUUUAGUUUUAUCCAUUUUAGUCCUUUAAUUAAAUAACUUUUUUUGCAUUUUUAGAUCUUCUAAAAUAUUAAUAAUUUAAUUUAAGUUAUUCUAAUAUAAAACAUUUGGCUUCCUACCCCUCAAAAAUUUUAAUUUUAUCUCCGCCAUCUUAGUUUCACCCUUGAUAUGUGACAUUCUAAUAUUCAAAUGUAUGAUUUAGUUAUUAAAGUCUAAAUGAUGACACAUUCAAAUUUAAUGGAAGUCAAUUAAUAGUGUUAUCAAUUGAACUUUAAUUUGAAAUCAGACAAAUGGAGGAACUAAAUUUCUGGAUUUAAAAGCAGAGGGAUUAAUUUUUAAAAGUUCAAAGAGUACAAGGAUUGGAGGCAAAACUAGACCAUCAUUUUGCAAAUGUAGAUGUAAUACCCAAAUUUUUCCCGGCCCGAGCCCAACUAUUAAAACCCAAAUAUGAAAAAAUAUAUAAAAUAAAUAAUAAAAUGUCCAAUUUUUCAUUACACCAGCAGGCCCAAAAUAGCCCAAUCCAAAUUUCCUAAUAUUCAACCUAGUCAGCCCAAUACACCACCUAAUCACAUACCAGAAAUUAAAUAAUAAAACCCAAAAUACAUUACCCAAGCCCAAACCCGAAUACAUCAAGCCCAAACAACCCAAAAUCAGAAACCCUAGUGGUUUCUAGACUAAUUUGGUGAAGCCGCAGCAGACCCCUGCUUCAGCGCCGUAGAUGAAUCCAACAAACCUCGCGCGUGCAUCGCCACUAGGCGCGUGCAUCAUCUCCACACAGAUGCGCCUCCAGGCUGGCCGAGUACCUACAAGUAAACACACGAAAACGAGAGCAAAAGAAAAUAACAGAAUAACAAGGACGGGGCAAUUUUCCUUUUAUUUAUUUUUAUUUUCUUUUCCUCUGUAAAAAAUUCAGGCUAUAAAAAAGCCAAGAAUAGACUGUAAACAGUCCGCAUUCAGAGAAAUUGAAUACAAAAAAACUCAUUUUCAGAGAAAAGAAAAAUUCGAAAGGUGAUAAUUAAUCUUUUCUUUGUUAUUUUUUUUCUGCUCCGUUGUUCAUUGAUUAAUAUUGAAGUAGAAAAGAAAAAAGAGCGAGGAACUUACCUGACCGUCGUUCGCUCCGUCACAAUUGGAGCUGGGCGAGGGUUGAAGGUCCCAUAAGCAGUACGUUCCAAAAUGUGGCGUCGAGGAUCUGUUCAUCUUAAGUCUCUGCUUUUCUUUUUUUUAGGAAGAAGAGUCUGUUUAAAUUAGGGUUAUUUUAGUUUUUAUGUCUAGCUAGAAACGGCGUCGUUUGAGGCCGGACCUUGUGGUCUCAAAACGGCGUCGUGUGAUGCUGGUAUCCGCGCGGUGACCCGACCCGGGGCAGGAUCCGCGCGUUUUCGUUCGUCGGUCUAUUUGCGAAAUGAGUCCCUCUAUGUUUUAUAUAGUUUCAAUCUAAUUUUCUUCAGUGUUUUUAAUUUGUACCGUAUAUUUAAUUUUGUUUUCAUUUGGAUCCAAGCCUAAACGGCACCGUUUUCUGGGAUUGAUUUUUAUUAUUCAGGUUUUGCGUUUAAUUUCUGAUUUAGUCCUUCAACGUUGAAAUAGGUUUCAAUUUAAUGCAAAUUUAGUUUUCUUUUUUUAAUUCAAUAAUAUUUUUA
rnacentral:lncRNA from 1 species